rnacentral:lncRNA from 1 species
CCAGCCAGCAUCUUAACAAAUCAUGUAUGACAUUCCCCUCUACCAACCUCAUUUCUUAACUUAAAUAAAUGUGUAUGCCUUACCUUGGGAGUAUCGAUCACAAGACACAUGGACUCUUAACCCAACAGGUAUCUGAGUAAACAGGUAGUCUUGUUCUGGUUUCUUUUACUCAAUAUCUCCCUUCUCUGAAUCUUUUUUAUCUAAAUUCCAAUGAACAAAGGUGCUGAUGUAGUCCAUCUUAUUCACCUUCUUUUCGAUUUUUUUAAUUUUUUUAUUGUUUUUUUUUCUUUUUCUUUUCUUGACAAAGUGUAGGCGAAUAGUGGGGUCAUCGGUAAUGUACCUACCCCUCGCUUCCAACAAUGUGUGAUCAUUCUAUUAGAGUAGAAUAAUGGGGUCAUCGGUAAUGUACCUACCCCUCUAAACUGCAAGAAAUCAUCUCAAUCUUUUAUUUUAUUUUAUUAGAAUGCCAAAGGGAGGAGAUAAGGAAACCAAAAUCACUCAGACUUUUACCUUUCAGACCUGAAGGAGGAAUCCGAUCCAGUGUAUACCAAGCCCCAAGACAAGCAGUUAAGUCAAAUUAGGUUGGAGGUCAGCUUCGGUUCCUUCAAACAAUCUCAGCAAGUGUGAACAUAGUUGACAGGUUGAUCCACUUUAGUAUCUUUAGUACUAUAUGCAAUCAGUAAGUCGAGAAUGGUGCUAAAGAGUGGUUAGAUAAAAGCAUGAAUCUAAUAAGUUCAUUAUCCCCUUCUUGACUCAAUAAAAACAGAUUUUGAAAAUAUUUUAAAUAGGACUCAUAAAGGUAGAUAAACGUUAGUAAUCCCCCCCAGACUUAAAUUACACUGUCCCUAGUGUAACACAGUCGGUGGUAAGGUGAAAAUCAUAAAGCAGAAGUACAGAAUUUAACAAGUAAGAACGAUAACCUGCUCAGUAUCGAUCGAUACAAUGAAGUCACAAUCGAUCGUUGUUGAUGAAGUGAUGUCGAUUGAUAGUGACAUGGUCUAAUCGGUCGAUGGCUAGAGAAAUCAUUCGACACAAUGAAGAGACAAUCGAUUGUUGGAUAUGAAGCGCUGUCGAUCGAUAUCGAGCUGGUGUCAUCGGUCGGUGUGCUGAGCAAUCGUCUGCUUGGAUGUGAGUGUCGAGCAACAUAGUUAAGUGGCGAUCGAUACUCUUGAUGCUCUGUCGAUCGAUGCUACGUAGUCAUCAUCGAUUCUCCUGCAAUCUCGUCAUUCUCGGAUCUUAUCCUUUUACUAACAUAAACAAAACAUUUAAUACAAUUAAUAAAUAAAUAAUAAAACCAAUAAUCAAUAAAAAUAAUAAUAAUAAUAUAUUUUUUCCGAUGAACAGUGCUUUGCUACAGUGUCGCUCGAUGUUGCUGCUACAGUGUCUCUGCUACAGUACGUCGUUACUGUUCUUUUUUUUUUUACCUGAAAUUUUUAGAAAACAAAGAAUCAGUAAUAAAUGAAAGAUAAAUCAUAUUUAAAAUUACCUAACAGUGGGUUACCUCCCACUCAGCGCUUAUUUUUAGUCAUUAGCUUGACUUCUGGAGAUCUGAUUCAGUCCAGAUGAGAAUGAGAACUUGCUCCAAACCAAGUCUCAAUGUCUACUCUUUGAAGCUUUAUCAUUCUUGUGUGAAAGCCUCCUCCAUAGACCCUUCUCCUUUGUCUAUUAUCUCAACAAUAAGGAGUGCUAUAAGUUUUGCAUAUGGAUGUGAGAAGCAUUUGCUGCGCACUCUUGAUUUUCUGAAACUAUCUGAGAAGUAAGGAGUCAAUGGUAAUUGAGAGCCUCCUUUGGUUCGUUUCCGCUUCUUCCAAUUUCUUCCCUUCUUUCCCACAGACUUGUGUAAUCUCACUUUGGACUUCAUGGCAUCAUCUGAGAAGUGAGGAAUCAAUGAUAACUGAGAACCUUCAUCGAUUCUUUUUUUCUUCUUCCAGUUCCUCCACUUCUUUCCCCCAGACUUGUCUGAAUGCGUGGUGGUAUCUCCAUAAAAAAUAUUUCCACACAAUUCAUACUCAUUCUGCUCUGAUUCGCGUCUGGUGUCGAUCGAUAGUAUCUGAUCGGUAUCGAUCGAUGAUGAAGUGUUAGUGUCGAUCAAUUUCGAUUUGCUGAUGUCGCUCGAUGGUGCUUCUGCUGGGACUUCAUCUACUUCAUUUGUAAAUCGCAGCCCUCUUUGAGAAGCUUCUACAUGAUGUUGAUCAUUCAAUACCUCAAUGUAAGAACUCAGAUACACACCUUUAUCCGGUGGGAUAGGAGAUUCAACUUCAAACACUGCACAUGGAACCAUAAUCUUCACAGGAUCAUGUAUCGUCUUCACUCUUUUGCAAAUCCCAACAGCUUCUUCUGCGCAUAUAGGUGGUCUUAGAUGUUCGGGGACAUCAAUGUGUGAUGUCUUAGACAUGUGCAUUAUCUCCUCAAUCGGUCUUGGUUCAAUUGGGUAUCCAGAUAGUCCAUCCAAACAUGGGUGCCGAUCGAUGCAAUCGGGUGGGUAUCGAGCGAUACAGGCGGGUGUAUGUAGAUUCAUGAUGUGUGGCGACUGUCGAUCUAUGGCGUAGGGUGGGUGUUGAUCGAUUAUGCAGGGAGUGUAUCGAUCGAUCUCAUCAGGUUUAUGUUGGUCGAUGUCGUCAGCCUUUAAGGAAUUGUCCAGACCUUUUCCCGAAGCGAGCUGAUCAUCAAGUUUCUGCCGAAGCCAUUCUUCCAACUCCAGAAAGUCUUUCAGAGUGACUUUGUCGACAUCUGAGGUAAGAUCACAGCUUGAUUCAUCGAUGCUCUCCUGUGUCGAGUUUGCAAUGUCCUGAGGACAACUCGAUCUUUCAGGGUUUUCAAGUGGAAUCGAUCGAUGACAAAAGUCUGUGUCGAUCAUUUCUGAGGUACUGGGGUCGAUCGACGAUGAGGUGGGGGUGACGAUGAUGUUAUGGUAAGGGUGUCAAUCGAUGAUGAGCUCUGUUGGGGUCAAAAACGGUUACGACGAAAUUACCACCCGAAAAUCCUCGGAGAUCGUAUUUCCGAAAGAGAUAGUAAAAAGAAGGAUACAACUUUCGUAAAAUAUAACCAAUACGAAGUUUUUACGAAGAAGUAUCCUUGAAGAUUCAAACCAAACAAAUCAAGCUCGGUCGUUGCGUAAUUACCGCGCAUACACGCCGUCCGGUCGCUACGUAGCAACUAAGUCCAGGCCGAUAUCGGCCGCUACAUAGCGACCGAACGUCCGACCCAAUCGGUCGCUACGUAGCGACCGAGCUCGAGCCAAAGCUCGGUCGCUACGUAGCGACCAAGCGCUCGUCCCGCUCGGUCGCUAAGUAGUGACUGAGCUCGGCCAAGCUCGGUCGCGAGCUCGGUCGCUACGUAGCAACCGGGCUCGAGCCAAAGUUCGGUCGCUGUGUAGCGAUUGAACCCUUCCGAACAUCGACAGACAUCAAUCCAUGCAUUCUCGUCAAACCAUCAAAUGCUAUCUCCCGAAGACCGUAGCAAGCUUAGUCUAUGUUUCCGCUAUUCUAAAUCACCGAUCAAACUUUGCGAAUUAAAAACCACGGAAAGUUCGUUCUUUAUCGAAAGAAUUCGUAGUAAACGUGUCGAGUCGGAAGACGGCCCAAAGAGACCUAAAACACGACUCGAGGUCCAUCCUACGAUUUCUUAACCAAAAGCCCGUAAACCACAGCACAGUUUACGCUUGGUCCACAAGAAAGGAUAAAUGUCAAGUUUCUGCGGAUAAAUACGGAAUUUUGAAGAUAAUUAUGAAGAUCGGGAAAAAUGGAAUAUCUCCAUUUUAUGCUAUGACGACUUAAGGGCAGAAGAGUAAACGCAUAGACCGACCUUGGAGCUAGUAUAUAAGGAGUCCUAGGCGAGGAGCAUGAGGAGAGAAAACUUUUGAGAGCAAACUUAGCACUUAGAGCAAUUUAGCCAACUUUCCGUUUUUGUUAUUUCGAGCUGCGACUCAAUUAGGUUUAGCCGUCUUAGGGUUGCUAGAACUAGGAAUUUCGCCGACAGCUCUCGAGCCCAGGCUUAUACCUUGUUGUAAACGCUCAUACGCAAAUCCGGAAUAAGAUCUUCUUUGCUCUCUUUUUCGAUUUCUUAUACUUUAUCGUUGUUAUUCUCGUGUUCUGAUUGCUUGACAUGUGGUAAUUAGCAGAUAUCCGGGUCCUCUGAGAAAUUAGGGUUUUCCUAGUUUCCUUAUUUAAACGGAAAUCGACAGUACGAAUUUCGGUUCCCACAGUUUGGCGCUAGAAGGAGGGGGGAUACAGAUCAAUCUAACCCGCAAAAGCCACAUCAAUCUCAAUCAGACAUGUCAACUAACGACGCGGAUAACAGGCAAACUCCUCUUAACGGAGGCAGCGGCACCGAUCUCCACACUCCAGUAGCGGACGUAUCCGCGGCCAACACACAAGCCAACGCCGCGACGCUCGAGGAGUUUAAGAAGAUGUUCGCCACCUAUGAGAAAAGGUCGGAAGAACAGGAUAAGCUCGUGAAUACCUUGACCAAACAAGUUGAAACUUUAACGGCAAGGACCCAAACAAUCCGUCCCCGCGGAACCAUCAAAAUCCGCGGAAAGAGGCUCGACUUCGCUACCCCACUCGACAGAUCAGGAGUCGCGCGGGAACGACCUUCCGGUCAAAACCCUAGCGAGAAAUCUCCCAUCGAAAAGGGGAAACCUGAAAGUCUUCCGCCCCCUGAGAAGGACUCGGAGGAUAACGAAGCCGAACACAUUGACCUGGAUCCUAGUGAUGUCUCCAACGACACCGACGAGGACGUCGACAGACAUCCAAGAAGGACCAGAAGCCGAUCCGCUCGGGAAGGCUCCCCGUUCGAAAAAUCAAUGACGGAAGAAGAGGAAGUCGCCUAUUGGAACGAACAAGAGGAGGUGGCUGAAAAGCCAACCGAGCUCACUCGCAGUAAACGCUGACAAGCUCGGAAAUCCACUGACGAGACAUCGGAUAUCCGCGAUCUUCGCGACUACAUCACCAAGACUGCGGCAGAAGUGAGAGCCGUAAAAUCUCAAAUCCAUCAUGCUACUAGUGCUGCCCCCGAGAUCGAUCGACUGCUGGAAGGAGCUCGAAAGACCCCCUUUACCAGUCGCAUUUCGGACAUGAGGGUGUCCGAUCCGGGAAAAAUCAAAGUACUGAAGUACGAUGGUACGGCCGAUCCAAAAGCGCACCUUCAGGCAUUCCACAUCGCGAUUGGAAGAGCAAGACUGAAGGACGGCGAAAAGGAUGCCGGCUAUUGCCGCCUGUUCGUCGAAAAUCUUGAAGGAGCAGCGCUCGAAUGGUUCGCGCGCCUUCGUCGCAACACCAUCGGGAGUUUCCGACAGCUCGCAUCGGAAUUUCUCAAACAAUACUCUGUAUUCAUAGACAGAGAAACUUCCGAUGUUGAUCUCUUGAGUCUCUCCCAGAGGGAAGACGAACCCCUCCGCGAGUUUAUCAGUCGGUUCAAGCUAAUAAUGUCCAGAGUCAGCGGGAUAAGCGACAAAGUGGCCAUCGACGCGCUGAGAAAGACGCUCUGGUACAAGUCGAAAUUCAGAAAGUGGAUAACACUCGACAAACCGCGAACGAUCCAGGACGCCCUCCACAAAGCAACGGACUACAUCAUAGUCGAGGAAGAAACUAAAGUCUUAUCGCAAAAACAUAAGGCGGCAAGGCCAUCCUCGAAAGACGUGGAUCCGAAAGGGAAAAAGAAGAAUUCUCGUAACGACAAGUACGUCCAUCACGAGGGGGAAGAUUUCCAAGGGGCGCAUAACUACGCGAUCAAUUCGGAUCAAGGCCGGACCACGGGCAACACAUGGACUCGCAAUCAAGGGUAUGACGAAAACACCUUCUGCGAGUUCCACCAAUCCCGAGGACACUCCACGACCAACUGCAAAGUCUUGGGAACAAGACUGGCCGCGAAGCUACUCGCUGGAGAGCUCUCGGAAGUAACUAGCGUCAAGGAUCUCGUCCGCGAUUCUGAUCGCCCUCCAAAUACGGACAGAAAUCCGCCCGCCGAAAAAUCACCUCAACGAAACCAGCCUGGGGAUAAACGCGGUAGGAGGCCAGACGACAAGGGAUACGAUAACAAUCUUCGCAGAGUCAAUAUGAUCAUCGGAGGAUCACAAUACUGCGGCGAUACUGUGUCGGCCAUCAAGGCUUACCAAUGGAAGGCAGAGUCGAGUGCAAAUAGGCCUACAUGGUCUCCUACUCGAGAUGGCCAAAAUUGCUCGAUUACCUUCACAAAGGAAGAAGCUGGCGGUAUCGACCAACCUCACUGCGACCCGCUCGUCAUAGAUCUCGUCAUACGAGAUUUAGAAGUCGGAAGGGAACUCGUCGACAUGGGAAGCACGGUCAACGUAAUCUUCCGCGACACUCUCAAGCGGAUGAGCAUUGAACUCGGAGAAGUAAUUCCGACGCCGAAACCACUCACGGGUUUUUCAGGCGAAGUAUCGAUGACUCUUGGAUCGAUCCAAUUGCCAGUCAUGGCCAAGGAGAUCACGAAAAUCGUCGAGUUCGCGGUAGUCGAUCAUCCUGCUAUCUACAACGUGAUCAUGGGAACCGCAUGGCUCAACGCCAUGCAGGCAGUUCCGUCAACUUACCACCUGGGUCUCAAAUUCCCAACCCCAAGCGGAGUCGCGGCCAUCUGGGGAUGCCAAAAACAGUCGCGGCUAUGCUUCCUCGCAGAGCACAAGUUAAGGCAAAUCGCGACUUCUGCAGCUGUAAACGGCAAGCGUACGAAGAUAGACCGAUCUUCGGCCAAAAGCGCCCCGGGAAAAGACGAGUUAAAAUCGUCUACCGACGCAAACGCAUCGAACGUCGAAGCUCGACACAAGUCCGAAGCCCACACUACAACUCAACCGGAACAUCCGGAAAAUAGUGUUGACCUAGCCACGAUCAACAUGGUCAAGGCGGACAUCGCGACAUCUACCGCCGAGUAAGAACACUCGCGGCAUGAAACAGAACUACGAGAUGGCUUGAUCUUCGAAAGGGGUACGUAGGCAGUUCGUCAAAAGACGAGUUCAGCUAUCCCCCUCUCUAAAAAGGGGGGGGGAGGGAGUGGGUGCGUAUACUCGUAUACUCCCACUUAGAAAAAUAUUCAUUAUUGUAAUCAAGUUUUUAGAAACUUCAAAAACUUUUACUACAAUAUAUGUUGUCCCUUUUAUCGAAAACGCUUACGCUUCAGUAAAACAUAAAAGAAACUUUCAGGACACGCUUGGAAAACAUUAAGACUCUUGUUUGCGGCCUCAUCAGGCCCAAAAUCGUAAAAAUUAUCAUCUUUCAAACACACAAAUAUACACGUAUAAUCCCCGAAAUAACUGCGAGACGUCGCAAAAGUUAAAAUUCGAGGAUAAUACUAACAAAUUGUCAGAACGCGACCACCAAAAACCUUACACCCCGUUCGUCGAUUGGCCCCGACGAACACGCCAGCCGUCUUAAACAAACGCAAUUCGAUCACUCUUUUGAUCUUCAAAAUGUCCAGCACAAGGACAAAAGCGCGCUACAACAAAAAUCCGAAAUUUUGGUUCAGCACUUCUAGUUGACUCUGAGAAGAUGCUCGAUUCGUACCAUACAAGUCAUAUAAGCCGAGAACUUAUCGCGGACUUUAAACCGGUGCGAGUCAGGAAGAAAUCGCAACAGGAAAAACGAUAGCCGGCUAGUCACAUCACAAACCUUAACCGAAAGUAAACCUAGGUCUUGCACUAAACCCAACGCUCUGGUCUCAAACAUCUCAAGGCAUGAUAUCUAAAAGAUACGAGAUCCUAAACCAUGUCUCUCCGUUCGUAUCUCAACGUUCUCGAAAAUCGUAUAGAUAGGUAAUUCUUACAAAAAUCACGAACGAACCAACAGAUUGGACGUCUUAUCGAAAUUAAAUAUGAGACGACAACUCAUAUUUACUUCGGACCUACUCAGGAAAAUUCGAAAAAACAAAACAUUUAUCACAUAAAUAACCGCGUAAAGCGGUAAGGGGAUUCAAAGCCACCAACGGCCAGUCCCGAUAAGCAAUAAAAACGGCCAAAACAAGCCCAUAUAAAUCUCCCGGCCACACUCGGCCAUAAACGUAAAACAGAAAGACGAACAUCUUUCUUUCGAUAACUACUCCACCGCUCAUAAUCCAAAGUCAAAGUCCCCGGACAACGAAGCACCGAACGCAUCCGCGGGACGAUCCACUUCCUCGCCGCCGUCAGGAAACCCGGUUGAAACCUCCUCGGUAUCAGGGGAAACCGGGAUGGAAUCCCAGAACCUUUGAAUCCGCUCGUCGAUCGAAGGGAUGAGCGCCUCAGCGUGGGCACGUUCAUUCAUCCCACUCUUCAUCAAGCUCAUUUCCUCCUCGAACACGUAGUCAUCGGCUCGCGUCCUCCAAAGACUUCCGACCGAACUGCGGCAUUCACGAAAAUCACCCACCGAGGUAAAGGCGUUCUUGAGGUUCCCAUACUCAACCUGGAAUUGAGAGGCACGAGUCUUCAUCACCUCAACGAUUUCUCUUUUGCCUUUCCUUUCUGCCUUAUGGGCAGCCCGCGCAUGAUCACGAGAAAGUUGCGCUUCUCGCUCCAAAAUCUCGCCUUGCACGCGAGCGAGAUCUCGUUCCGCUUUCUCUGCUUUGAAGCGAUAGACCAUAGCCUCCCUAUGACUCGCUUCAAUGGCCGAGCCAAGCAAGUUAAGGCCCUGCGAAAUCAAUUAACGCAUUGUAAGCAUAAAAGGAAAAACCUAGGCAAUCACGAAUAUUUUCGAAAAAACCAUACCCCGUUGAUGAUUCGGGACCCUUCCGCGACGACCUUCGGCCUCGCGGACUCUUUCGCAGGCGGAGGAGGAUCAAAACCCGGUGGCAGACCGGCUAAGAAAUCAUCAAAGUCCGGGAUAGGGGCCUCGCUCGAGCCACUCCCAUCGCCAUAAGCUAGGUUCGGAUCCCAUCCUGGAAGCAUAGACUCAUCCAUCGAAAAUUCUAUGUCGCCAAGGUCGAUAUCUUUUCCCUUCCAAGAGCUCGACUCCGGCACGGCUGUUGGGGAUACAGCGGGACUCUGGUCAUCAGGUUCAGAGUCGCUACCCGUGUCCGCAACCGAGGCAGGACCAGGGUGCACGAACCUCAGAGCCCUCCGAACCCUCUUCGGCGUAAAGGAAGUCCAAAAGAAGGGACCAUUCCUAAGAAGAUCCCUCACCUCAAUAAUGUCCUCAGGAAACGGAGCAAGAGGAUUGAUGAAAGGACGAUCAUUCGGAAACCUCCAGAACAGUGGAAUGCAACUCUCUUCGACAGACGCAGCGUCUAAACGAACAAAGAAGAAAAACUUCUUCCACGAGUUGAAGUUCAAAAUGAACUUCUUAACCACAGACAUAAACUUCCGAGGGACCAGCCUAUGCUUGUCCGUAACUUUGACGAGUUGAAGCCUCAGAAGCGCUUCAAAAUGAUCGACGGAAAGGGAAAGGCCAUGCUCAUAGCUCAGGAUCAAGAUCCCAAUAAAAUGCUGAAUGGCGAGGGUAGUCAACUGGAUUAUCGCAACCUCGAAACGGUCCAAUACUCGGACGAGAAUUUUGGGGAUUGGGAACCAUAAGCGACAACGCACUACGAACGCCUCGUAGCAAGUGAAGUAACCCUCUGGGGGGCUGUUAGCACACUCUCCGGGAUAGGGAACUCGGAACUCUACGGCAUCCGGGAUAUGGUAGAACGAUCGCAUGAUUGCGAGAAACUCGUCGGUACUCCUGCUCGGAUCCUCUUUCUCGACCCCACGAUGGAUCAGAACCGGGAACGACUUCUCUUUGGGAGGAGUCAUCGAACCAUAAUGAGCAACCCACCAUGCCUCGUUCUCGGCGGGAUGUACCGAGUGAGGCACAAACUCCAUCUUCGGAACAAUGAGCUCUUCAUAAGCACUCGCGGACGAAGACCCUGUUUUCGCAACUUUUUUCUUGCUCGACAUCUUUACACUUCUCUUGAGAAAAUAGAGGAAAAGGGUGGAGAGAAACAAAGAAAGUUUUUCUUAAGAAAGAUCUUAGAGAAAGACAAGAAAGUGAAAAAAUUGUGAAACAAGUUACCUCCCUUCUUAUAGGCAUGAGAAUUUACUAUUCAAGCUCGGACUUUCGGAUAUUAAUUCCAUCCAUCACGCCUAACUUGCCAAACAUGCCUAACCGCACGCUAGGAUCCUACGAAGCAUGAUCCUAACGGGCUGGGGGGCUAACUGUUGGGGUCAAAAAUGAGAUUUUAGAGAUUUAAGAAGGUAUUGAGAGAUUAAGAAAGAUUAAAGAGAAGUUUACAGAAAGAUUUAAACAAGUAUCAUGGUUUGAGAGUGAUUAAGAGACUUUGAGAUUUAAACUAGAGAGAGAGUAGAGAGAGAGUGAUUCAAUCUCGUUAAUUAUUAAUCUGAUGAGGUUACAACUUAUAUAGUAUGAGAGCUUAGGGUUUACAAGGUUUAAAGAUAAGCUAAAGCAUGUGAAGUCAACCAGGAGAUGAGCGCAUAUCAUAAAGCAUCGAAUGAGCUUCUUCCCGCGUGUGAAGCAUCUUGGAUCUUUGACUAGGAUGCUGACAGUCUGUCACAGCCUGGCACAGCCUGUCAGAUGCGCUCCUCAAGCUCUCUCAACGGUCUGAUCCAAGUAGAGCAUGGUAGAAGGUAAGAAUGAUCCGUUUACUCCCCUCUUGGUUAAACGGUCAUGGUAACUUCUUCUUUACCUUGUACGGCCACCUUGUACGGCCUGUCCGUACACUCACAUCCCUAACUUCAUCCUCAAGCCUCUAACCUUCUCUAGCUUCAUAUCACCUAGUUGCAUCACCUCAUUUCAACACUCCCCCUCAAGCUUAACCAUGUGGAACAAGUUAAGCUUGGAAGGACCAUGAGAUCUUCCUCAUUAAAAACCUUACCAAAGAAAACCCAUUUGGGACAAAACUUUGAUAAGGGAAAAAGAGUAAAGACCUCAUGAUCCGGGGACUAUUCUAUGGGUGUAAGAUCAAUGAGUCCUAACCUGAUGUGUAUGGACUCCAUUGUCUUUUGUCUUGCUGCCUUGGUGAAUACAUCCGCUAACUGAUCCUCACUCCUUGUAUAGCAUGGCAAGAUUACUCCCAAAACGAUCAUCUGCCUCACCUUGUGGCAGUCUACUUCAAUGUGCUUGGUUCUCUCAUGGAACACUGAGUUGGAUGCAAUGUGUAUAGCUGCUUGGUUGUCGCAAUGCAUAGUCAUUGGUGUAGCUUGCUCUAUCUCCAAGUGUUUCAAGAUCCCUUUGAUCCACACCAACUCAUUGGUUAGCUUCAGCAUUGCCCUAUACUCAGCUUCAGCACUUGAACAAGAUACUACUUUCUGCUUCUUGCUCUUCCAUGUCACAAGAUUACCUCCAAUGAAUGUACAAUAGCCGGUAGUUGAUCUUCUGUCUGCUCUAUCUCCUGCCCAAUCAGCAUCACAAUAGCCCACCACUUCAGUACUCUUGUUGCAUCCCAUCCAAACUCCAAGGCCUGAUGUACCGUUCAGAUACAAGAGGAGUCUCUCCACCAUUCGCCAGUGAUGCUCCUUUGGGACUUGCAUAUGCUGGCUCACUUGAUUCACAGCAAAGCAUAUAUCCGGACGUGUGAUGGUAAGGUAGAUGAGCUUCCCUACUAGCUUCCUGUAUAGCUUUGGAUCAUGAAAGACCUUGCUAUCUUCAAUCUCCCCCUCACGUGGAACCUUGUAUCCAUCUUCAAGAGGCAUCCUUGCUGUCUUAUCUCCUUGUAUACCUGCAUCUUUCAAAAGAUCAAGUGUAUACUUCCUUUGGGAAAUGAACAAUCCUUCCUUAGAUCUACACAACUCAAUUCCAAGGAAGUAUUUCAUUUCUCCUAAGUCUUUAAUUUCAAAUACAGAUUUUAAAAACUCCUUGGUGGCUUUUAUCCCAGCCUUAUCACUACCUGUUAUAAUGAUAUCAUCAACAUACACAAGUAGACAAAUGAUACCUGAGGGUGAAGUAAGUGUGAAGAGAGUAUGAUCCAAUUCUGAUUUCUUGAAUCCACGCCCAUUUAAAGUAGUGCUCAGCUUGUUGUACCAUGCUCUAGGAGAUUGUUUCAACCCAUAGAUAGCCUUCUUGAGUCUCAACACAUUUCCAGGUUUCACAAGAUGCCCUAGGCCUGGUGGUGGAUGCAUAUACACUUCAUCUUCUAGUUCUCCUUGAAGAAAGGCAUUCUUCACAUCCAUCUGCCAAAGCUCCCACUCAAGAUUCACAGCCAGAGAUAAUACAAUUCUUAUUGUAUGGAGCUUAGCAACAGGAGCAAAGGUGUCAAUGUAGUCUUCCCCAUAUGAUUGAGUGUAUCCUUUAGCCACCAGUCUUGUCUUCUUUCUCUCAAUAGUCCCAUCAGGCUUGUACUUGAUAGUGAAUAUCCACUUGCUAGUUACUGCCUUCUUUCCUGUUGGCAGUUCACUUUCAAACCAAGUAUCAUUCUUUAUCAUAGCAUUAGCUUCAUCACCUACUGAUUCCUUCCAGUCUUCAUGUAGCAUUGCAUCUUCAUAUGAUCUAGGCACAUAGCUUCCAUCUAAGCUGAUCAUAAAUGCGCACUGCUCUUCUGGAUAGCACGCAAAGGAGCACACAGCUUGAGAGGGAUGCUCCACAGCUUGGGCAUUGUAGUACACUCUUGUGUUUACUCAGUUGGAAGCAUCUCUCUUUAACCGCGUGCUUCUCCUCAAUGGAACUACUAUAUUCUCUUCCACGGCUUCUUCUGGUAUCUGGCUUUCUUCACUAGCUUCCUGACCUCCAUGUUGAUCACUUCCCCUUGAGUCAUCUUCACUUUGAACAUGAGAGUCUGCGCUUUGUUGUUGAUUUUCGGCUUCACUUGUUCCUUGAACUUCAGUAUCAGCAGAUUCACUUCCCCCUUCAUGUUCUAAGUGAGAUGAUUCUUCAACUCUAACAGGUGGUGUUGCUUGGCGUUUGUGCUGAUCUGAUGACACUCCAAUACCAAGUCCUUGCAAAAUGUUUCUCAAGCUUGCAGCCCUGUCUGAUGGUUGGGAUAGAUCUUCAAGUUCUUCCCAAUUCUUCCCAUCAUAAUAUCCCUUUUCUUCAAAGAACUUCACCUCCCUUGAUACCAAUACUCUUCUGGUAUUUGGAUCAAAGCAUUUGUAUCCCUUUUGGGACGUAGAGUAUCCAAUCAUCAUAGCCUUGGUACUCUUCUCUUCUAGCUUGUUCCGCAUUUCCCCGGGUACUAGCACAUAGCACACACACCCAAAGAUCCUCAAGUGUUCCAGCACUGGCUUACUCUUGUUAAGAACCUCAAAGGGGGACUGAUCAUUGAGAAUCUUGGUUGGUGUCCUGUUGAUUAGGUAGCUUGCGGUCAUCACUGCAUCACUCCAAUGCCUCUUAGGCACACUUGUAUAGAACAUCAUUGAUCUCGCCACCUCCAUGAGGUGUCUAUUCUUCCUUUCAGCCACUCCAUGGUGUAUAAGGACAGCUUGUCUGAUGAAGUAUUCCAUGGCUAGCUAGAUGUUCUUUGAAUGCAUGACUUGUAUACUCCCCACCAUUAUCUGACCUGAAAAUCUUAAUCUUGGCAUUAUAGUGGUUAGUAACAUUGUUUUGAAAGUUUUUAAAUGCAUCAAGAACUCUAUCCUUUGUUUUAAUGAGUGUUAACCAGGUGUAUUUAGAUUUUUCAUCAAUGAAGGUGACAUAAUACUUGUAAUUAUCCCUAGAUAAACAAGGUGCAGUCCAAACAUCAGAGUGGAUUAAGUCAAAACACUUCUCAUAAACUGUAACUGAUCUUUGAAACACACUCUUACAAUGUUUUCCCAAAAUACAAGCUUCACAAUCAUUAUUUUUAAACAUGACACCUGGUAACAUUAUGCUUAAGGCCCUAACAUGUGGAUGUCCUAGCCUAGCAUGCCACAAAGCAUCCUUACUUAAAGAAACCGAGCUAAACGAAAAACAAGAACUAGAGAUAGGGGAGAGAUCUUCAAGCAUGUAAAGGUCUCCCUUAGUUGCUCCUUGGCCGAUCAACUUACUGCUCUUAAUAUCCUGAAACUUCACAUCAUUAGGACUAAAAAUAACAUUGCAAUCAAGAUCAGUAGUGCAUCUCUUGACAGAUAACAAGUUUGAAGUAAAUUCAGGCAUGUAGAAUGCAUUAGACUCUUUAUUAAACAGUUUCAACCUACCAAUGCCUCUAAUAGGAAUUCUAUCUCCAUUAGCAAUCAUGACAUGACCUUGGGUAGGUUCUAUAUCCGUAAUCAACCUGUUAUCACUAAUCAUGUGAUGAGAUGCACCAGAAUCAAUGAUCAAAGGUUUAUGUAUAUCCUUAGCUAGAUGACUUCUAGGAUGAUCAUUGUUAAUUUUUAAGUUCUCAAGUACUCCUAAGAGUUUAUUAGCAAUGCUAUGUUCAGUUUUACCAAUCAAGGGACUCUCUAGUAUGUCUAGCAACCUAUCAGUUCUACUAGACAUAGUAUGAGCAGCAAAAGAAUAACCAAGAGUAUUGGGUCUUAGUUUGUUACCAGACUCUUUAAGAGCUUUGAUGAGUGCAUCUAUGUCUGACUUCCUGAUCACCUCAUGCUCUAGGUUCUUUCCUCCUGAGUGGUGAGAAGAGAGAGCUCGCCCUUCACUCUCAUUCACUUGUGAGGAUGUACCAGCCCGGAUGCACUGCCACUGCUUGUCUCGGUGGACAUGUGAGCUCUGGCUUCUCUCUCCUUGUUGAAUUUGCUUGGCUUGAGGUGAGGGUGAAGUAUCCAGCAUUGGCUCUUCUUAUGGCCUGGCUUCUUGCAAUGAUCACAAUUCCCUUCAAAGCGGUCACCAUACUUCCUUCCAUCAUUCUUGUAACCCGCCUUGUUUGCUUGCACAUCCUCAGCCUGAUGAGCCAUAGGUAGCUCCCCCUUUCCUCCAAACAAGCCUAGAGAGCCUUCCUCCUUCUGCAGUUGAGAGCACACCUCCUCCAUUGUUGGUAGGCUUGGCGAUCUCAGCAUGUGCUUUAUGACAUCCUGGUAGCACACGUCUAAGGUCAUCAACAACCCAAACACUUGAUCCUGCUCUCUCCUCUCCAUGAUGAUCUCUUGAUCACUGGUGCUUGGGCGCAGGUUAUCCAGCUCAGACCAAAGAGCUCUGAACUUCCCAAUGUGUGUAGUAAGCUCCACACCACCUUGCAUCAAGGAGGUGAUGGCUUUCUUCAACUCAAACACACGGUUAAGGUUUGAGACAUCUCCAAAUGUCUUCUGGAGCGUCUCCCAUAGGUGCUUAGGUGUCUCACAGAAGAUGUAGGCUUCAAGCAAAGGGACUUCAAUAGAACUGUGUAGCACGGACAGCACCAUCAGAUCUUCUUGAACCCAUUUCUUCUUCACCUCAGCUUCAGUGAGUACUUUUCCACCCUCAGCUUCCUCAUUCCCUUUGGCCACUGGCUCUGGACCAUCAUCCGUGAUGUGGUUCCACAACCCUAGCCUCCCAAUAGCAGUCUUCACCAGCCGAGACCACAACAAGUAGUUUCCUACACCUUUUAAGGCAACCGGAACCGUAACAAGCUUACUGUAGUUUCCUUCCAUCUUCUCUUUGCCUCUAGUUACUUCUAGUCUUCAAUCUUGUACUUCAGUUGAGCUUCUACCACACCAGAUCUUCAAGAACACACGGGACCAAAGAACCAAGGGUAAGACACUUCAACACACUGACAAGACUUCCCGGAAGUAUCAAGAACAAACGCAAGAACACAAAGAAGGAAUGAGUAAGAAUCACACAAAGGAACUAAGAUCUCUCAAUACCAAAGCCAACCUGGCUCUGAUACCAUGAGAUUUUAGAGAUUUAAGAAGGUAUUGAGAGAUUAAGAAAGAUUAAAGAGAAGUUUAGAGAAAGAUUUAAACAAGUAUCAUGGUUUGAGAGUGAUUAAGAGACUUUGAGAUUUAAACUAGAGAGAGAGUAGAGAGAGAGUGAUUCAAUCUCGUUAAUUAUUAAUCUGAUGAGGUUACAACUUAUAUAGUAUGAGAGCUUAGGGUUUACAAGGUUUAAAGAUAAGCUAAAGCAUGUGAAGUCAACCAGGAGAGGAGCGCAUAUCAUAAAGCAUCCAAUGAGCUUCUUCCCGCGUGUGAAGCAUCUUGGAUCUUUGACUAGGAUGCUGACAGUCUGUCACAGCCUGGCACAGCCUGUCAGAUGCGCUCCUCAAGCUCUCUCAACGGUCUGAUCCAAGUAGAGCAUGGUAGAAGGUAAGAAUGAUCCGUUUACUCCACUCUUGGUUAAACGGUCAUGGUAACUUCUUCUUUACCUUGUACGGCCACCUUGUACGGCCUGUCCGUACACUCACAUCCCUAACUUCAUCCUCAAGCCUCUAACCUUCUCUAGCUUCAUAUCACCUAGUUGCAUCACCUCAUUUCAACAAAAAACGGUUACGACGGAAUUACCACCCGAAAAUCCUCGGAGAUCGUAUUUCCGAAAGAGAUAGUAAAAAGAAGGAUACAACUUUCGUAAAAUAUAACCAAUACUAUGUUUUUACGAAGAAGUACCCUUGAAGAUUCAAACCAAACAAACCAAGAUCGUAUUUCCGCGCAUACACGCCGUCCGGUCGCUACGUAGCAACUAAGUCCGGGCCGAUUUCGGCCGCUACAUAGCGACCGAACGUCCGACCCACACGGUCGCUACGUAGCGACCGAGCUCGAGCCAAAGCUCGGUCGCUACGUAGCGACCGAGCUCGAGCCAAAGCUCGGUCACUACGUAGCGACCGGGCUCGGCCAAGCUCGGUCGCUGUGUAGUGAUUGAACCCUUCCGAACAUCGAUAGACAUCAAUCCAUGCAUUCUCGUCAAACCAUCAAAUGCUAUCUCCCGAAGACCGUAGCAAGCUCAGUCUAUGUUUCUGCUAUUCUAAAUCAUCGAUCAAACUUUGCGAAUUAAAAACCGCGGAAAGUUCGUUCUUUAUCGAAAGAAUUCGUAGUAAACGUGUCGAGUCGGAAGACGGCCCAAAGGGACCUAAAACACGACUCGAGGUCCAUCCUACGAUUUCUUAACCAAAAGCCCGUAAACCACAGCACGGUUUACGCUUGGUCCACAAGGAAAGAUAAAUGUCAAGUUUCCGCGGAUAAAUACGGAAAUUUUGAAGAUAAUUGUGAAGAUCGGGAAUAAUGGAAUAUCUCCAUUUUUAUGCUAUGACGGCUUUAGGGCAGAAGAGUAAACGCGUAAACCGACCUUGGAGCUAGUAUAUAAGGAGUCCUAGGCGAGGAGCAUGAGGAGAGGGAACUUUUGAGAGCAAACUUAGCACUUAGAGCAAUUUAGGCAACUUUCCGUUUUUGUUAUUUCGAGUUGCGACUCAAUUAGGUUUAGCCGUCUUAGGGUUGCUAGAACUAGGAAUCUCGCUGACAGCUCUCGAGCCCAGGCUUAUACCUUGUUGUAAACGCUCAUACGCAAAUUCGGAAUAAGAUCUUCUUUGCUGUCUUUUUCGAUUUCUUAUACUUUAUCGUUGUUAUUCUCGUGUUCUGAUUGCUUGACGUGUGGUAAUUAGCAGAUAUCCGGGUCCUCUGGGAAAUUAGGGUUUUCCUAGUUUCCUUAUUUAAACGGAAAUCGACAGUGCGAAUUUCGGUUCCCACAAGCUCGUGGCACUAAUAUCAGCUACUUCUACUGUGCUCAGCUUUCCAGACUCAUGUUGCUCAUCAUCCCCCACCAUAUAUUCCAGCGUAGACCUUACCUCAAUCUCUAGAUUUGCUGCAGCAUCAUAGAGAAAUUGUUGAGGAAGGCGUAUCUGAUAUUAUUCCAAGUAGUGAGAGAUUCUGGUGGUAGCUUCUUCAACCAAUGAGCUGCAUCCCUAGCAAGAGAUUAUGGAAAUAGUUUGCAAAAGUAGUAGUCUUCAGAGACUCCAUUGCAUUUAAUGGUCGAUGCCAGAUCUACAAAUGUCUCCAGGUGGCUAGUGGGAUCGUCAUGAGGGAAACCAUGGAAAGAAUGCUGACCCACAAGAGAGAUAUAUGCAGGGUGUAGCUCAGGGACAGUAUUCUGAAGUGUUGAACGACGCAAUGCAGUCCUUUUAGCAUAUGCAUCCUCAGGACUGUUAUAGUCUCUAAUUGCCUUCGAUCGUCCAGUCCUAACAUACACAUUGGUAGCAUCAGGGAUUGUAGAAGGUAUCGAUCGAUGACAAAUAUUUGUAUCGAUCGUUUUUGAAGUGCGGAUAUCGAUCGAUUCUGAGUUACUACUGUCGAUCGAUGCUGAAGUCGGAUCUUUUGUAUCAGCUUCUUCUACUUUGCUCUGCUCUCCUGAUACAUGAUAUUCAUCAUCCUCAACUGUAUCAUGGUUGACAAGCUUUCUCUGUUCAGUUCGUCCUUCUGCUUACUCUCAUCUGCAUGGUGAACCUGAAUGUCUGGCUGCGUGACAUGAGUUGUCGGUGUUCCAAUAUCUCCAUUCUCCUCGCUGUAGACGAAGUCAAAAAUCUGACUCAUACUAAUCAUUAUUCCUUUCUCCCGUUCUUUAAUCAUGUAAUCAAGCCUUUUACUUCGAGUUUCUACAGCCUCGCUGAAAAAUUUGCUUAUGAAAGCCUCUUUGAUGUCUUCCCAGCAGGUUAAAGAUCUUGGUUGCAGCUUACUGAACCAGCUAAAUGCAUCUCCAGAUAAACAAUAGGGGAAGAUCUUGAAGAAAAUGUGGUCUGCAGAUAUUUCAUCGUGCUUGUUUGCUGAGGCUAACUCCUCAAGUCUUUUGAUAAGAUCUUUGGGAUCCUCAUGAGGAAGACCGUAAAAUGGAUCCACACUUCCCCAAUCAUACCAUUGACUUGUCAGAUUAAAGGUAUUCGUCUCAGCCACAGCAAUUACAUCAGGGAUUAAACUACCCUCUGCAUUAAUUAAUUGUCUUGUGAGGCUGCAAGGACGACAUUCUUCGUCUCGCCAAAUACCUUUCUUGUCGAUCUUAAGUAUGAGCGCUUCGACCUUCUCUGUCUCUCCGUAAGUGGUGUUCGUCAUUGGAGGAACAGUGCCGCGAUAAAUAGUAUUUCGAUGAACAGUGUUCGGGUGAACAGUAUCGCGAUGAACAGUAUUCGGGUGAACAGUGUCACGAUGAACAGUGUCCGGAUGAACAGUAUUCGGAUGAACAGUGUUCGGGUGAACAGGGUCGAGCGACGGUAUAUGAACAGUGUCGAUCGACAAAGAUGAAUAGUGUAGACCGACACGGGAUAAACAGUAUCGAUCGAUGGGACAUGAAUAGUGUCGACCAACACGGGAUGAACAGUGUCGAUCGACGGGAUAUGAAUAGUGUCGACCGACACGGGAUGAACAGUGUUGAUCGACGGGAGAUAAAUAGUGUCGCGAUGAAUAGUAUCGCGAUGAACAGUACUAUGAUGAAUAGUAUUUUGAUGAACAGUGCCUGGAUGAACAGUACCUCGAUGAAUAGUACAUCGGUGAAUAGUUUUGCGGUGAACAGUACCCGGAUGAAUAGUACCGCGUGAAUAGUGUUUUCCGACACAUGAUGAAUAGUGUUGUUCGAUGCUUGGCUCACGCUAUCGAUCGAUGCUGCUUGGAGGGUGUCGAUCGAUACUUUCCUAUUAAGCUUACGGAUCGUGCAUAAACCAGCAGGCUCCUUCCUUGAAGGAUCUAGAAAUCCUCUCUUCAUUGUUUUCUGGUACUAAGAGUUAUGUACCUGAAAUAGAAGAAAAAAUUUUAUGAGUUUUUUGAACAGUAACAAAACCUAGACUAAAUCUAACUAAACAAGAUCUAAUGGCGCCAAAUUUGAUAUCACUCAAAUUACCCUAAAGAGUGUUACUCUCAUCAAAAGAGGUCGAGUUAUAGUACUUAGGGAUCGAAUCCACAAGGAGCUAGGGAACCGAUUAGAUCUAAUAAUUUUAUGAUUAAGCUAGGCUAAUAGGUUUUAGAGCAGUAAAAUAAAUAUAGUAAACUAGAAAGCGGUAAACAAGAUGAACAAGAUAAUUGUUCAGCUUCGCAAGGGUUGUUUGAUGGAAUGAUGGUUGCUAGAUUUAGGGUUUCUAUUCAGGUGUUGGAGAUUAUAAUAUCUAUAGAUGCAUAAUUGUUGCAUGCAUGAUAUGUUAGAGCUCAACCACUUAACUCAGUGAUCAGCUGUCACAUGUUUCACUGGUUAACAAAGUAGAUCUCGUGUCCCAACGGUUAGUAUGCCGACAACGAGAGAGUGUCGAUCGAUGGUCUAUUAAGACGUCGACCGAUACACCUUUUCCUACGUCGACCGAUAAUCAGUUGAGGACAUCGAUCGACGGGUUCUAGCUAGGCCUAUGCUCGAGUAUGAAAUGCCCUAUUAAGAUAUUAAAUUGGCAGUUAACUCUCUCUAGCAAUCCUAUUAUGAUAGAUAGAUGUCAGGAUGGGAUAACAAGGAUGCUUGUGUAUGCAAUCCUAUGAUCAAUAUUCUAGUUAAUUACUCUAGAACAAGCAAUAAGUAUAGAUCUAUCAUGAAUAUCACAACAAGGCAGAUCUAUAGUUUGGGGCUAAUCCCACAAACCUAUCUGAACCCUAAACCUAACAGGUGGAUCUACUCAGAAAUGAAAACAUAAAUCAUAGAUGAAUAGAUAUAAACUGAAAUGAAACAGAUCAAUAAAACCUAUGGAGUUCCAGGAGGACUCUGAUAGGAGUUCCUUCCGUCUCUCCUAAGAGAAAAAAUGGAAAUGAAAGCGUGUAAAAAGUGUAAAGAAGUGGUAGCCGUCAACAAUGGCUUAGAAAUGACAUAAAUAGGGUUUCUGGUCGUCCAAGGGCAUUUUGGUAAUUUGUGGCUUCUAGGGCUUCACGCAGUCAUAAAAUAUACAAGGCCCAUUAUCUGGGAUCUCCAUCGAUCGACGUGCAGAGUGCUGCAUCGAUCGACGCGGCUUCCUCUUCUCGGCAGCUUCCUCUCGCGAGGCAGACUGACCACUCUUCAGUAAAACAGGCAUAACUUCUGCUACAGAAUGCUGAUUGACCUGAGACCGGUGGCAUUGGAAAGCUAACUCAAAGCUCUAUCUUGUAUCUAAAUAUGAGCUGACUCUAACGGUCGGAAAGUCUCCAUCCAUGGCUAAACAUCUGACGCGUCUGUGCAACUCUGCACCUCCAAAGGCUCCAAAAGACUCCAAAAUCACCAUAUUUCUCCUAAACGUCCCUGAACCUGUAAAUACUCUAAAUAAACUCCAAAACAUAAUAAUUGUAUCUUAAAACAUUUUAAAACACUUUAAUGACCAUGACUUAAAAUGGGUAAAAUAUAUGGUCUAUCAGUCACACUCGUUAGGGUAAUUUGAGUGGUAUCAAGGAUUCAAAAGAGAACCCAAAGGAGGACAUUUCUGAGGCCCUACCGGUCGCUACGUAGCAAGUGAAGGUCUGACAGGUCGCUACGUAGCGAGUGGAAGCGAGCCAAGAAGAGUCCUACUUUUUUCGUCGUAAAAUCUCAACGGAAACUCUGAUUGAGACGAAACGAAAAGCGUUUCGAUGAGGAUUCAAAAGAGAACCCAAAGGAGGACCUUUCUGAGGCCUUACCGGUCGCUACGUAGCGAGUGAAGGUCAGACAGGUCGCUACGUAGCGAGUGGAAGCGAGCCAAGAAGAGUCCUACUUGUUUUCGUCGUAAAAUCUCAAUGGAAACUCCGAUUGAGACGAAACGAAAAGCGUUUCGAUGAGGAUUCAAAAGAGAACCCAAAGGAGGACCUUUCUGAGGCCUUACCGGUCGCUACGUAGCGAGUGAAGGUCAGACAGGUCGCUACGUAGCGAGUGGAAGCGAGCCAAGAAGAGUCCUACUUGUUUUCGUCGUAAAAUCUCAAUGGAAACUCCGAUUGAGACGAAACGAAAAGCGUUUCGAUGAGAAUUCAAAAGAGAACCUAACGGAGGACCUUUAUUAGGCCUUACAGGUCGCUACGUAGCGAUUGGAGAGUUGGCUUGAGCUCGGUCGCUACGUAACGACCGAGCCGUGUGCGUGCUCGGUCGCUACAUAGCGACCGAGCUGUGUGCGUGCUCGGUCACUACGUAGCGACAGAGCAGUGUGCAUACUCGGUCGCUACGUAGAGACCGAGCAAUAUGCGUGCUCGGUCGCAACGUAGCGACCGAGCAAUGUGCGUGCUCGGUAGCUACGUAACGACCGAGCAGUGUGUGUGCUCGGACGCUAUCGACCGGGCAGUGUGCGUGCUCGGUCGCUAAGUAGCGACUGGGUAAAUUAAUCCGUACCCCCCCCCCUCCUUCUAGCGCCAAACUGUGGGAACCGAAAUUCGCACUGUCGAUUUCCGUUAAAUUAGGAAAGUAGGAGAACCCUAGUUUCCCAGUGGUCCCAGAUAUCUGCUAAUAUCACACACUAAGCAAUCAGAACACGAGAUAACAACGACAAAGUGUAAAAAUCGUAAAAAGAGAGCAAAUAAAAGUCUUAUUCCCAAUUUGCGUAUGAGCGUGUUUACACCAAGGUAUAAGCGUGGGCUUGAGAGCUGUCGGCGAGAUUCCUAGUUCUAGCAACCCUAAGAAGGCUAAACCUAAUUGAGUCGCAGCGCGAAAUAACAAAAACGGAAAGUUGCCUAAUUGCUCUAAGUGCUAAGUUUUCUCUGAAAUAUGCAUCUCCCCAUGCCUCUCGCCUAGGACUCCUUAUAUACUCGCUCCAAGGUCGGUUUACGCUUUUACUCUUCUGCCCUUAACCGUCAUAGCUUAAAAUGGAGAUAUUCUUUUUUUUUCGAUCUUUGUAAUUAUCUUCAAAAAUUUGUAUUUAUCCGCGGAAACUUGACAUUUAUCCUUCCUUGCGCGCUAAGCGUAAACCGUCCUACAGUUUACGGGCUUUUGGUUAAGAAAUCGUAAGAUGGGCCUCGAGUCGUGUCUUAGGUCCCUCUGGGCCGUCUUCCGACUCAAAAUGUUUAUUACGACUUCUUUCGAUAAAGAACAAACUUUCCGCGGUUCGUACCGCAAAGUUUGAUUGAUGACUUAGAAUGGCGGAAAACAUGAACUGAGUUCGCUACGGUCUUCGGGAGAUAGCAUCAAAGGAUAGACGAAAAUGCAUGGACUGGUGUCGUAUCGACGUUUCGGAAGAGCUCGGUCGCUACGUAGCGACCAAAUGGAAAGCACAUUCGGUCGCUACGUAGCGACUGAGCGGGACGGAUGCUCGGUCGCUACGUAGCGACCAAGCGGGACGCGUGCUCAGUCGCUAUGUAGUGACCCAGCUUGGCUCGAGCUCGGUCGCUAUGUAGCGACCGAGCAGUACGCGUGCUCGGUCGCUACGUAGCGACCGAGCUUUGGCUCGAGCUCGGUCGCUACGUAGCGACCGAGCUGUGUGCAUGCUUGGUCGCCGCGUAUCGAUUGAGCUUGGCUUGUCCGCGGUCUGAUUGCUUUACUCGAGCUUGUCCGCGGCCUAUUUGGAUACAUGUCCGUUGCCUUCGGACAGUCGGUAUUUAGUGGUUCGAUUGAGAUUUGAACAAAAUUUUACCGCAAGGUUCUUCGUAAAGAUUUCUUUACGAAUAUUACCUUUCGUAAAAACGUUCAUGUUGAUUUUUACGGACUUUCAGACAUUGAUUCCGUCGUGACCGAUUUUGACUCCAACAAUUAUUCUGGUAUAUCUCAUUGGUUGUUCUGGUAGUGUCUCAUGAAAUAGGUACACAAUUAAUCAUCACCAUUUCGGUCAAUAGAGGAAUACAGUUAAAUGAGGAUAAAAAACUUAUACACUCAUCUACAUUACUACACAGUUUAUUACGGCAGCAUCUUAGGUUAACUGGAGAUAUAUUGUUUCUUUAUACCCCUUUGUUUAGCUCGAAUGAGAUUUCUGGUAACCAUGAAAAAGAUGGUGGUACUUUACGGAGUGCAGGAUUGUUUCUAUCUUUCAAUAAUAUGAUUAGGAAUACUGGAUUACUGGAACUUCAUGGGGAAAUCAAAUGUAUUGGCAAAGAAGAAGAAAUAAGGUAAUGAUUAGAUGUCAGCUGGAGCGAGCACUAGCAAACGAAGACUAGUAUGUGCUUUUUCCAUGUUCUUGUACAAAAUAUUUAGAGAUGGUGGGUUUUGAUCAUCGGCCAGUAGUGACUUAUUUUGAGAAUAAAGUACCAAGGAGACGGAAAAAUUUCGGUUUGACAAAAGAUGGAUUGGACAUGAUGAUUUGUUGGAAUCAAUUGGGAGAGGUUGGGGUGACUCGCCAGCAGAGAACUCAGGGGAUUUUGUAUCGAAAAUCAUUAAUUGCCGCCAUUAGAUCGCUACAUGGCGAAAUAAUAAUCCACCACAUGGAAAGAAGCGAAUUAGUGAGCUUCAAAAAACAAUGGAAGAAGUUCAAACUGAUAAUAAUAUAACGCAAAAGACAUAUUGGAAGUAUCUAGGAAGUUACAAGAAGCAUAUAAAGAUGAGGAAGAUUUUUGGCAACAGAAAAGUCAUAAUAUGUAGGAAGUGCGAUUUCUCUCUCUACCACGGUUUUUAAGAUUGGUCCUUAACCAGCGGUCCGUUAGCAUACGCUUUUCUUCGUUACCCAGUUGUAUUACCUCUUUUAGCUAAAACCUCUGAAACUUCGCCUUUGUUUUUUCAAAUUCUUUCCCUUCCGGGAUAAAACCUUUGGAUAUCUCAAGUCUCUGCAGCCUUACCCGCCGGGUUCUUCCCCCGACCCAGGUCGGAGGGACCGCCGCAGCUCCGCCUCCUCAAGAUACACCAGUCUAUCGAUGUUACCGGAGUCGUCAUCUUACUCUCCCUGAGUUCUCUUGCCACAACCCCCAGCGCCUCCACCCUGUGUCUCCACUUCUCGUACCAAAACCAUAAAUCCCUUCUGCUGUUUCGUUUCAAAAAGUUGAAGAGCUUUUAGUCAGGCUGUUGGUUUGGUUGUUUUUGCAAAGCUACCUCAGCGUGAGGAUAUUUCAAGGAACCUCGGUAUUUUCUAAGUUUGAAAGGCGUUCUCUACUCUAGUUGUUGCCUUUGUGUGAGGUUCUUCUGAAGAAGGAACCUUGGUUACUAUUCUCAAUUUACCUAUGUUCUAAGGUAGAGCUACUCUUCCCUAAAGAAAAUCUCUUUAGCCACUUGCUCUCUGCUAGUCAUGUCGAGCUGUUACUCUAGACGUGAGAAAGAGAAAUGGACCGUUGAAAAGCAAAGUCGACGGAAACCACCUCUUAUCAUCCCAUAAUCAAACUGUGCAGAGCUUAUAUAGGCAAAUAAGUUCACCUUCAUCGGAAGAGUUACAAACCCUAAAGAGCAAAAGACAAGGUCCCUCGUCGACUUAUUCCUCCAGCACUGGAAUGUAGUCGGACGCAUUACCGGAAGUGCUUUGGGUCCAAAUCUCUUUCAGUUCCAAUUUGAAUCAGAACGAGACUUUCUCUCCAUUCUCAAAAAGGGCUCCUUUCACUUCAAGAAAUGGAUGAUGCUUCUGCAGCGAUGGGAGCCAACGGUUGCUAACGACUUCCCAGCUAACAUCUCCUUUUGGGUCACGAUUCAUGGACUCCCCCUACUACUGGAAUGACCAGACUAUCAGCAUGAUUGGAAACGACCUUGGCAAAAUCGAGGUGAAAGAUAUUGACCACGCUAGGAUCAAAGUCCUCGUAAAUGGCCUCAAACAAUUAGAAAUGAGGAAUGAUAUCCAACUUCCCUCGGGUGAAGUCCCAGAAGUGGAGUUAUAGUAUGAAAAUUGGAAAAACAUUGCUUCAUUUGGCAUUUGCUUACUCACGAAAAAGAAGACUGCCCACUGAAAAAUGAUAAGCACAGAGGCGCUAGCUCAAUGAGAAUCGGUAUCAGUCACCAAAAAACUAUUGAUCGAAUGGAGGAUAUCAGAAGGAAAGGCUGGGAAAAGAGACCCGAAGGCCAAACCUCUAAUGAUCUAUCCUCUAGAGAAAGAGCUUACUACCCUAGGGGUGAUGAUCACACAACUUCUCAUCACAAAGACGUACAGGGUGCCUAUAGGAAUACUAGAGCGGGAGGCUCUAUGUCGUACUACAGAGAGGUUUCACGACCCUCCUCUGGCGUGGAGGCUCAGCACCGUGUCAAUAGAGACAGACCAAGACUACUGGAGAUUGCUGAAUCAAGCCAUCGAAGAAUCCGAUAUGAAUCUGAUCCUAAAACCCCUUCAAACUAGUCCCUCCAGCGUGAGGUCUCUAAACAAAGGAGCGACAACAGAGGAUCCCUGAGGGGAGAAGUAAACUUAAAACAAGGCCAUUCCCCCCUCCAAGGCUCUGAUUUUGCUGCUCAGGCUCUGCUCCAUAGCUCUGGAGAGCGACCCCCUGCAAAGGAGAGACUCUCGUUUCCCCCAAGCAGAAAUGAUCUCAGGUCGAGACUCGGCCGUAACUCAGUCCAGCCUAAAGCACCGUUACAGGAUGUGGAAAUCCAGUAUAUUGAGGACACGAUGCCACUGCAUGUGCACAACUCAGGUCAUCUAUCUAGUUUGAAGCGCGCUUCUCUGGAAGGUGAUCAACUUGGAUUGUCCUCUAUUAGAUCCCUAAGCGAGGAUAGACGUCAUGUUUCCCACAGAUUGGGUCCACUUAAUCCAAUGCCUGAUGAUGAGGAAGAAGGCCUGGACCAAAGACAUCUGGUUUUAAAGGAUACCUCUAAGGCUGCAGUUACGAGGAAGGCUCAAUCACAGAUGCCUAAACCUUCAUACAGCAAACACCCUCGACAAAGCCUACUCUUCCAUAGUGUUUCAGUAAAGAAAAGGUGUGUCGUAAAAGCACAACCACAUCCGAGGAUGUUUUUACAACAAGGAGCUUCUCGUCCCGAAGGCCGAGUUUGAGCCUCACUCGGUUGAUCCUACGGAAGGCGAGGCAUAUUUGGUUGCAUGAUGUGGCUUGAUCACUCCCCCUGUCGAGGCACCUUAUCCCAACAGGUCCCCUCAAAAGAUUAACCAUGACUUGUCGAGCAGGAGUACGCAUUCGUUUCUGAAGAUCGUUCGGAAGUUCGCUCGGAUUUUCAAAGAAGUGGAGUUUCGAGUCCCUCGCGAUGGUGAGACUGCAGAGAAUCCCCCGGAUGGCUACUUCACAUGUUACGAGGCAUUCCGGCUGCGUUGUCGCUUGUGGUUCCCUAAUCCAGAGAUCAUAGACCGUGUUCUCGAGAGUUUCAAAAAUAUCAAUAGGUCAGCUGAGCCUCGCUGGCUUGGAGCACCUCAUCGGUUUGGUGAUCCUUACGAGCAUAGCCUAACCCUUACUGUUGAUCACUUCGAGGCUUUUCUACGUCUGCAGAAUGUUUUGGGUUCUAUGUUCCGCCCAACUCCCCGUACCAAUAUGUCGGUGAUCAAGAAGACCACCCCUCAUCCGUCGAGGAAGGAUGUAUUCCGGUGUUUCAACGAUCGCCCUUUCAUAAGCCCCUUGCACCCGUUUUGAUACACCCUAAAUUAGGGAAGGAUCACUCAAUCGGACUAAAGAGAUAUGAACUCGCCAAAAGGGAGAACUGGUGGAAUGAAUGGUGACACAAGAGGGGCGUAAAGUCUCUUGAUACUACCAGACUUCAGUUGUUACAUGAUAUGAAGCACAAGUCCAACAAAAGAAGGGUUUCUAAGCGUUGGUUGAUAUGACGCACAAGUCCAACGAAAUAGAAAAUGUUUACUCGGAGAUAACCUCACCAAAAAACAAGAAGUGUUCUACAAAGAACAAAGAGUAUGAACUCAAAAAUAAGAAGAAAAAUCGAUUGUAUUACUUCAUGAAAGGGAUUACAUAUUUAUAGUACUUGUGGUCAAAGAAAGACAUAAAUAAAUGCGGAAAAACAUAUCUUGGAAAUAACAAAGAUUGGCUAGAAAAUAAUAAAGAUAGUCAAAGAAUUGAUAAAUUACCCUAAGGAGUGAUUUAUACUCUCUUUGUUGGGGUGAAAACGGUUACGACGAAGUUAAUGUCCAAACCUCCGCAAAAACAAGUGUGAGUGUCUUUCUGCGACAAUUAUGCUUGGUAAAAAUGUCACGACACAUGAUCUCGAGAUUAAACCUUGUUCGAGUCUCGGUUGGAUCAAACACAAGCUGUCCCAAGGUAACGGAAACGUAUCUAAACCAGCCACGGAUAAGUUCGGGUGUGACGAUUGGAACACGGACAAGCCAAGCUCGGUCACUACGCAACGACCGAAAAGAUGGCCCAAAGGGACCUAAGACAUGACUCGAAGCCCACUUUACGAUUUCUUAACCAAAAACCCGUAAACCGUAGGACGGUUUACGCUCGGUUCGCAAGGAAAGAUGAAAGAUAAAUGUCAAGUUUCAGCGGAUAAAUACGAAGUUUUGGAAGAUAAUUACGAAGAUCGGGAAAAAUAGAAUAUCUUCAUUUUUUAUCUAUGACGGCUUAAUGGCAGAAGGAGAAAAGCGUAAACCGGCCUAGGAGCGAGUAUAUAAAGAGUCCUAGACGAGAGGCAUGAGGAGGACAUUUUUCAGAGAAAACUUAGCAUUUAGAGCAAUUAGGCAACUUUCCGUUUUUGUUAUUUCGAGCUGCGACUUAAUUAGGUUUAGCCGACUUAGGGUUGUUAGAACUAGGAAUCUCGUCGAUAGCUCUCGAGCCCAAGCUUAUUACCUUGUUGUAAACGCUCAUAUGCAAAUUCAGAAUAAGACUUCUCUUUGCUCUCAUUUUACGAUUCCAUAUACUUUAUCGUUGUUAUCUCGUGUUCUGAUUACUUGGUGUGUGGUAUUAGCAAUAUCCGGGACCUCUGGGAAAUUAGGGUUUUCCUAGUUUCUUAAUUUAAACGGAAAUCGACAGUGUGAAUUUCGGUUCUCACACUCUCAAAUAAGAGGUUGAGUUGAAGUACUUACGGAAACCAAUUAGAUCUAAUAGUUAUAUGAUUAAGCUAGGCUGAUAGUUUAUAAAAUAGUAAAUCUAUAUAAUAAUAGGAGAGUUUCUCUCCUUCUAAGAGUGUCCACGUCACCAGGUGGUAGACCCCACUCAAUAUUAUUUUUUCUUCUGUCGUGUGAGUUUUGUGGGCUUUGAACUAUUUUUUUUCUUUUCCAUGUCGACUGGGAUUUUUUGGGAUGUCAUAGGUUUAGGGUUUGUCUUUCUCUUUGAGAUUGUUCUACGACAGUGGGGCGUUUCCGAUUUCGCCGCAUUCAUUUACGUAAGACCAACUCUUCGACUCUUCCCUACACGUUCUCUGAUGACGAGACCAUUCCUCUUCCUGUAACGCCUUUUCCAGGCUCCUUUAUAUAGACCUUCACCAAGACCUUCACCAAGGUUAGAGCAUCUCUAAAAGCCCCCUUGAAACUUUAAAUGUAAUGUUUUGUACACUCCAAAAGCAACCUUAAAACCUUAAAUUUUAAGGUUUUGUACAGUGAAACCUCAAAUAUAAGAUUUCACUGUACAAAACCUUAUAUUUAAGGUUCCUUACUUUUUCAGUCCUUGUAUUUGUGUACUUUUUAAAUAAAGCUAAUAACUUUCUUAUCUGAUCAGUUUAGUCCUUUUUAAUAUCAAAAUAUUUAAUUAACACUAAUAAAUAUUAUACAAAGAUAAUAUUACAGCAAACAAAUACAAAAUACAAGAAACUAAAAAUAGAAUAUUACACAAAAUAAAAUAUUUCACAAAAUAAAAUGUUGGGGUCAAAAUCGGUCACGACGGAAUCAAUGCCUGAAAGUCCGUAAAAAUCAGCAUGAACGUUUUUACGAAAAAUUAAUCUUCGUAAAGAUAUCUUUACAAAGAGCCUUGCGGUAAAAUCUUGUUCAAACCUCAAUCGAACCACUAAAUACCGAUUGUCCGAAGGAAACAGACAUAUAUCCAAUUCGGCCGAGGACAAGCUCGAGUACGGCAAUCGGACCAUGGACAAGCCAAGCUCGAUCGAUACGCGGCGACCAAGCAUGCACACUGCUCGGUCGCUAAGUAGCGACCGAGCACCCGUCCCGCUCGGGCGCUACAUAGCGACCGAGCUCGAGCCAAGCUCGGUCUCUACGUAGCGACCGAGCGUCCGUCCCGCUCGGUCUCUACGUAGCGACUGAGCUCGAGCCAAGCUCGGUCGCUACGUAGCGACUGAGCUCGAGCCAAGCUCGGUCGCUACGUAGCGACCGAGCGUGCGUUCUGUUCGGUCGUUACGUAGCGACCGAACUCUUCCAAAACGUCGAUACAACACCAAUUCAUGCAUUCUCGUCUAUCCUACGAUGCUAUCUCCCGAAGACCGUAGCGAACUCAGUUCAUGUCUUCCGACCAUUCUAAGACAUCAAUCAAACUUUACGGUAAAAACCGCGGAAAGUUCGUUCUUUAUUGAAAGAAGUCGUAAUAAACGUUUCGAGUCGGAAGACGGCCCAAAGGGACCUAAGACACGACUCGAGGCCCAACUUACGAUUUCUUAACCAAAAGCCCAUAAACUGUAUGACGGUUUACGCUUGGCGCGCAAGGAAGGAUAAAUGUCAAGUUUCCACGGAUAAAUACGAAAUUUUGAGGAUAAAUACGAAGAUCGGAAAAAUGGAAUAUCUCCAUUUUAUGCUAUGACAGAUUAAGGGCAGAAGAGUAAAAGCGUAAACCGACCUUGGAGCUAGUAUAUAAGGAGUCCUAGGCGAGAGGCAUGGAGAGGACUUUUUAGACUCGGAAUUCUCUGCACUUAGAAACUUUAGGCUUUAUUCUCGACAAGUUCGGUUUCUAUGACUGACACUCAAUUACUAGACGAACUCGCCCUGGCAGUUCGAUCUCUUGUCCAGCUCUAUCAAUCGAACUACGUUCGGCUUGAUCCUCGAAAGGGGUACGUAGGCAGCCAUUAACAAGGUUCAGUCCGAAAUCAAUCAAAAACCUUUUAUGUAUCUUUUUCGUCUUUUGUUAUCGAGCUGCGACUCAACUAGGUUUGAGCUUUUAGGAAGCUAGAACUAAGUAACUCGCUGACAGCCUUUGCGGCCAAAGCUCUUAUGAUCUCUUGUAAUGAUCGCAACGCUCUUACCCGGACUCGAAAUAAGAUCUAAUGUUUUCUCUAAACUCGUUUGUUAUCUUUUCAUGAUUUCCGCAUAUAUUCGGUCACUUGUCGUUGGCUCUCGCAGAGAUCCGGGACGUCUGGGAAAUUAGGGUUUUCCUAGUUUCCUUAUUUAAACAGAAAUCGACAGUGCAAAUUUCGGUUCCCACAGUUUGGCGCUAGAAGGAGGGGGGGGGUUACGGAUUACUCUUACUCAUAGCCGCAAAACGCUUGAUCGAAACGAUGUCUGGAUAUAUGAAAGACAAACUCGCAGCACUGACUGCUCCUAUGGUUAACGCUUGCGCAAACGCUGUAUUGUUCAGCAAAAUCGAAAACUUAGUCGCGACCUUCCGCCACAGGAAGAGCACUAAAACAUGCUCGCGAUUUCUCUUUCUAAACAUAAAGGGAAACGAUAAAUCUUAUCAAACCCCGUAAGUUUGGCUCAUUACCGAAAAAAGAAAUCUCGAUGCGUAAGGGUUUUACCAAAACACGUUUUCCGAAAACAUUUCGGAAGGAUAAAACUUGUUCUCCCAAAAACUGCUGAAAAACCCCUAGGCUAAUCGCCGAAAACGGAAACACAACAAAACAAUUACACAGCUCGGUCGCUACGUAGCGACCGCACAUGCACACGCUGCUCGGUCGCUACGUAGCGACCGAGCACACACACGUAGAGACCGAGCACACAUACUGCUCGGUCGCUACGUAGCAACCGAGCACGCACACACUGCUCGGUCGCUACAUAGCGACGAGCACACACACUGCUCGGUCGCUACAUAGCGACCGAGCACACACACUGCUCGGUCGCUACGUAGCGACCGAGCACGUACACACUGCUCGGUCGCUACGUAGCAACCGAGCACGCACAGCUCGGUCGCUACGUAGCGACCGAGCACGCACACACUGCUCGGUCGCUACGUAGCGACCGAGCAAGCACACCGCUCGGUCGCUACGUAGCGACCAAGCUCAAGCCAACUCUCCACUCGCUACGUAGCGACCUGUAAAGCCUCAGAAAGGUCCUCCUUUGGGUUCUAUUUUUAAUCUUCAUCGAAACGCUUUUCGUUUCGUCUCAAUCGGAGUUUCCGUUGAGAUUUUACGACGAAAACAAGUAGGACUCUUCUUGGCUUGCUUCCACUCGCUACGUAGCGAGCUGUCAGACCGUCAGUCGCUACGUAGCGACCUGUAAAGCCUCAGAAAGGUCCUCCUUUGGGUUCUCUUUUGAAUCCUCAUCGAAACGCUUUUCAUUUCGUCUCAAUCAGAGUUUCCGUUGAGAUUUUACGACGAAAACAAGUAGGACUCUUCUUGGCUUGCUUCCACUCGCUACGUAGCGACCUGUCAGACCGUCAGUCGCUACGUAGCGACCUGUAAAGCCUCAUAAAGGUCCUCCUUUGGGUUAUCCUUUGAAUCCUCAUCGAUACGCUUUUCGUUUCGUCUCAAUCGGAGUUUCCGUUGAGAUUUUACGACGAAAACAAGUGGGACUCGUCUCGGCUCCCUUUCACUCGCUAUAGCGACCGAGAUGACAUCCUCACUCGCUAUAGAGUCAGGCCUCAAAGGGGUCCUCCUUUACGUUCUCCUUUGAAUCCUCAUCGAAAUGCUUUUCGUUUUGCCUCAAUCGGAUUUUCCGUCGAGAAUUUACGACGAAAACAAGUUGGACUCGUCUUGGCUCCCUUCCACUCGCUAUAGCGACCGAGAUGACAUCCUCACUCGCUAUAGCGACCUGUCAGGCCUCAAAGGGGUCCUUAUUUGCGUUCUCCUUUGAAUCCUCAUCAAAACGCUUUUCGUUUCGUCUCCAUCGGAGUUUCCGUUGAGAUUUUAUGACAAAAACAAGUAAAACUCAUCUUAAACUCCUUGGCUUGUUCCUGCUCGCCCUACCUCCAUCUUUGCGUUCACUUUCGAAUCUCGAUCGAAACGUCUCUUGUUUCUAUCGGAGUUACCAUUGAAACUUUACGAUAAAAAAACAAAAAAAAAACCGCAAAGACUUGUUUUCUCGCAUGGAUUCAGGUUAAUCGUAUAAAACAGCAGCGGUUAACUUAACAUCUUAGCCGCCUUAACUAUACGAUUACGUUGAAUCUUUUUACGAAAAUCGACGUCUUAUCUAAGGAAAAUAUAACAGUCAAGUUUCAAAGGAUAAACACCAAUAUCGGAAAUGGCGAACAUACACGAGAAGAGGAAAGGGAAAUGAGCAAGCAAAACUGAGAAGAGACAAAACUGUAUCUUCGAGAGGACUAAGAUCUUGCAAACCGAUCUAAACUCUCCGAAAGUCGAGAAACGAUCGCCGCGCAUAUCAAGCUCGCUUCCUAAAGAGAGAAAAAGUUAGAGACAUGAACGUCGUCUUAAAACCGAUUCGUUUCUGGCAAUUUUCUCGGAACCGACAUAUCCCAAGUCGUCAACGUGGAAACAACCAAAUCACAGUCCAAGCGUCAUCUAUAAAUCGUCUCGAAUUAUAGAUCAUUCCAAACAUCAGAAGAGGAAACGUACACAACCCUUCAAAGUAUCGGUUCAACCGUUUUCUUUCGUAAAAAAAAAAAGGGGGAGUAGGUACGUAUACUAUACUCGUAUACUCCCAAACUUCAAAAUCUUCCGCAAAUCGUCAAGAAUAGGCAAACGACAAUCUUAAUAUUCGUCUAAACGCUAGCAACAUAUCCAGACGAUCAUGAACAUAAUCUCAAAAACUAUACAUCAUUUCUUGUCGCAAUCAUGCGUACAGAAAACUUGUACCAAUAUCAAACUGAAACUCGACGAUUGUAUUGAAGCCUUUUCCGGCUUCAGAAAGCCAGUUUCGUUUUAAAAAAAAUUUCUACGAGAAAUCUUCAGUCACCAAAGCAUUUCUUUCAGUUUCCGUUGUACCAAGUAAGUCACGGAAAAGCAUCGAAAACAUUUGCGACGAAGAAAACUCGAGAAUAGAUGUAGCAUCGUGCACAUUAAAAGGAGCACUUUCCUCCCGAUGGUUAGCUAGAUUCACCUCUGGUUGACCAAUUCGUUCAACAAACGAAUGUGUCAUGAGAAUCCUCUCGAAAAACCUACGAAAAACGUUAUGCGACUAGAUCGUAUUGAAAUAAACUUCGGUAACACUCCAUGAGUAACUCCAAGCAACUUUCACCUAAGAGCAAAAUCACAGCGGGAACGCUUCUCGUAAAACCCGCAGAAACAAUGCUACUUUGACAUAUGUAUACAUAUCACUGAUUUACGACCUUCGUAAAGUCGGUUAUAUGAUAUGAUAAAUUAUCGUAUAGCUCAUAGUCGGAAAUCAUAUGAUAAAUUCUUCGUAACGAAACUAAGUCCUAACAACCAAACGGUUAACGGAAAAUCUAAACUUUUCGACAAUCGACCAAGUUUGAUACAUUCCACAAUUCACUUUAAGCCCGCUAUUUACCCAUAAUACGCGGCAUCUAUGGAAAAAUUCGUAAGAAAGCUUCUAGAGCUAAACAUCCUCAAAAAUGCACGAAAUAGAUUUUGGAAGGCCAACACUUCAAAAAACAUUAUGAAGGAAAAUGCUUCUUCCCAUGGAUAAAUUUACGCUACACCUCAAUCCUAAUUCCUCGAUCGAAAAUCAAAUUAUUAGCAUCCAAACAGGAACAACAAUUUUUGCUACGAACAUCCGUAGUCAAACAAGAACGUUUCUCAAACGCAGGGCUAAGACUAAACCCUUGCAACAUCGCGAAACAUCUUCAAGCCCGCGAACAUUUCAAGCCCGAAACACGGCAUACAAAAGAAUAACAAAUCUUCAGCAUCGCGAGACGUCGCAGACGCCUGAAUAUUCGUUCUUCGACGAAAUUUCCUUCCUCGAUAAAAACAUUUUCUUGGAAGACCAGACAGUCAUACGCACUAACAUCUUCUCAAAACAUAUCCUUCGCGAAGACUCGAAACGGUAUUUUUUACCAUUAAGUUUGUUGCUGAUCACAACAAACUCUCAACGUCCUAAACAGACUUAGCCAUCUCGUAGAGAUGACUCUCGUACAUCUGAUACAAGGAUAAUAGCGCUAUAAAAGAAAUCCAAAAUUUUGGUCCAGCACUUCCGAUCUCCGGAGUGAUGCUCGAUUCCAACCAUACAAGUCGUAUAAACCGAGAACCUAUCGCGGACUUUAAAUCGGUAUGGACUCAGGAUGAAACUGAAACGGGAUACGUAAGUCGAAUUAGUCAUCGCACCCUUGAAAACCAGGAGUAAACCUAGGUCUUGCCCUAAACCCAGCGCACUGGUCUCUAACAUCUCUAGGCAUAGUAUCAAACACCGUGAUACGAGAUCCCAAAAUUUGUCUCUUUGCCAAUAUUCGAGAAUCUUCAGAAAUCCCGCAAGUUUACACACUGCGGAAAACUCUCGAAACAGAUUACGGAUAUAGCAGUUCACAUAGAGUUAGAUUACGAGAUGACAACUCGUAGUCUUUCCUCUACACCCAUACAAAAUGCCAUCGGCAGCAAUACGCCUUAUAAUCGCUACAUAAAAACUAGACCAUAAAGGUCCCACUGGAAAACUAGUCAUAAGAACCUUAACUCCAAGACGAACUACGAAAGGCUUGAUCCCUUCAACAAGGGUACGUAGGCAGCCGUCAUAAGGCGCAGCCCCAAUCUUAUUGCGUUUUCUACUUUUAGGAGAGCGAGAAGAUCACUUACCACAGACGUUUUCAACCAUUAAUUCCGCCUAACUCACCUAACUUGCCUAACUUGCCAAGCCACUCGCUAGAACCUCACGCUAGAAGCUCAUGGUUCUAACGAGCUGGGGGGCUAACUGUUGGGGUCAAAAUCGGUCACGACGGAAUCAAUGCCUGAAAGUCCGUAAAAAUCAGCAUGAACGUUUUUACGAAAAAGUAAUCUUCGUAAAGAUAUCUUUACAAAGAGCCUUGCGGUAAAAUCUUGUUCAAAUCUCAAUCGAACCACUAAAUACCGAUUGUCCGAAGGAAACAGAAAUGUAUCCAAUUCGGCCGCGGACAAGCUCGAGUACGGCAAUCGGACCACGGACAAGCCAAGCUCGAUCGAUACGCAGCGACCAAGCAUGCACACAGCUCGGUCGCUACGUAGGGACCGAGCGUUCGUCCCGCUUGGUCGCUACAUAGCGACCGAGCGUCCAUCCCGCUCGGUCGCUACGUAGCGACCGAGCGUCCGUCCCGCUCGGUCGCUACAUAGCGACCGAGCGUGCGUUCUGUUCGGUCGUUACGUAGCGACCAAACUCUUCCGAAACGUCGAUACGACACCAAUUCAUGCAUUCUCGUCUAUCCUACGAUGCUAUCUCCCGAAGACCGUAGCGAACUCAGUUCAUGUCUUCCGACCAUUCUAAGACGCGACCGAGCGGGACGGACGCUCGGUCGCUACGUAGCGACCAAACUCUUCCGAAACGUCGAUACGACACCAAUUCAUGCAUUCUCGUCUAUCCUACGAUGCUAUCUCCCGAAGACCGUAGCGAACUCAGUUCAUGUCUUCCGACCAUUCUAAGACAUCAAUCAAACUUUGCGGUAAAAACCGCGGAAAGUUCGUUCUUUAUCGAAAGAAGUUGUAAUAAACGUUUCGAGUCGGAAGAUGGCCCAAAGGGACCUAAGACACGACUCGAGGCCCAACUUACGAUUUCUUAACCAAAAGCCCAUAAACCGUCAUACGGUUUACGCAUGGCGCACAAGGAAGGAUAAAUGUCAAGUUUCCAUGGAUAAAUAUGAAAUUAUGAGGAUAAAUACGAAGAUCGGAAAAAAUGAAAUAUCUCCAUUUUAUGCUAUGACGGCUUAAGGGCAGAAGAGUAAAAGCGUAAACUGACCUUGGAGCUAGUAUAUAAGGAGUCCUAGGCGAGAGGCAUGGAGAGGACUUUUUAGACUCGGAAUUCUCUGCACUUAGAAACUCUAGGCUUUAUUCUCGACAAGUUCGGUUUCUAUGACUGGCACUCAAUUACUAGACGAACUCGCCCAGGCAGUUCGAUCUCUUGUCCAGCUCUAUCAAUUGAACUACGUUCGGCUUGAUCCUCGAAAGGGGUACGUAGGCAGCCUUUAACAAGGUUCAGUCCGAAAUCAAUCAAAAACCUUUUAUGUAUCUUUUUCGUCUUUUGUUAUCGAGCUGCGACACAACUAGGUUUGAGCUUUUAGGAAGCUGGAACUAAGUAACUCGCUGACAGCCUUUGCAGCCAAAGCUCUUAUGAUCUCUUGUAAUGAUCGCAACGCUCUUACGCGGACUCGAAAUAAAAUCUAAUGUUUUCUCUAAACUCGUUUGUUAUCUUUUCAUGAUUUCCGCAUAUAUUCGGCACUUGUCGUUGGCUCUUGCAGAGAUCCGGGACCUCUGGGAAAUUAGGGUUUUCCUAGUUUCCUUAUUUAAACGGAACUCGACAGUGCGAAUUUUGGUUCCCACAUAAAAUAUUUCACAAAAUAAAAUAUCACAUAAAUUAAGAUAUUACAUAAGUAAACAUCAGAACAACAUUAAUAUUCAGGUAAAUUUGAUCCUAGACUUCCAAUAUCACCAAAAUAUUUUCCAUAAAUCUCUGGUGCAACUCGAGGUUGUUGUUGCUCUUGAGUUCUUUUCUUGAUGAUUCUUUCUUGUUCAGAUCGAAUGAACUCACAAGUAGUAGAAUUAGCAAUAGAAUUUAGACUUGUUAACAAUAUCUUAUUUUCUUCUUGCAUUUCUUUAAGUGCUAAUUUUUUUGCUUGGUUUUGCACAUGUAAUUGAGCCAUUUCAAAACCUUUAUCCCUACUUGAUGUACUUUCUUUUAAGAAAUCAAGUAGUUUUUUCAUUUGAUGAAACCAAAUUGUCAACAGAUGAACUAUUACCUUCAGCAAGCUUCCUCUUGAGUUUUGUCUUUUUUGAUCUAAUCGGACGUUGUGAUGAAUUCGAUCUUCCAUCAUCACUACUUAAAUUGAUUGAAAAUGAAGACACUCCUGGAGAUUGUGAUGUAGGAGAGCCGGCGAUAUUGAUCUCAGUAUUAGGAGUGUCUUGAAUACCAAUAUUGACAUCGGUAAAUUUUGGAAUAUCUUUCAUCAAAAGCCAAACAUGAUCAAACUUGAAACCUUUUUUUUGUUUUGGAUCUUGUAUUAACAAUUUCUUAGCUUUUUCCAUCUGCAUGAAAUAUGAAAUCUUAAGAAAUACAUAUACACAAUCAUAUAUGUAUAAUAGAAAAUAAAUAUACUUACAAUGCCCCACUUGGAUGCAAAUUCUCUACUUGGAUAUGCAUAAAGAAUGGUAGUCAUCCUACCUUGUAAGGAUCUGCUGCUUCUUAUUUCCCAACACUCAUAUUUUUGUUCAUUGUAACUAUUUUCUAUUUUUUCGCAUAAUUUUCCUAGAGAUUGGUUAUUGCUGCCAAUAGGAUCUUGGGAUAUUUCUAGAUAGACACGAUAUAACAACUCAUCUUCAUGUUGGUCUAAUGACGAGCCUCUACUUCUUUCCAUAUUUUUAUGAAAGUUUAUUGGAUGUGAUUUUUCAUUGUGUAGAACCUAUUAUUUAUACAAGAAAAUGGAUGAAUAAAAUUCAAAUGAAUGGACAUGGUUUAAUUUUACAGAUUUUCUUAUCUACCUGUGAAUGAUGGAUAUGAUAAGAUUUUGAUCCAAGGGUUGGUGAGCUAUAAAAUACAUUGAAUGGUGUUGGUUGAAAUCUUAAGAUUUUCUUAUCUUCUCUUAUCUAAUAUAUUGGAUAAGUCUGACCUCUUGAAUAUAAUUUUAAAUAGUAAAGAUUCUUUUCUUGUUACCUUGGAUAAGUGAAAUAGGCAUAUAGAAUCCAAUGAAUGGUGUAGCUUAAAUAUUUAAGAUUUUCUUAUCUUUUAGAAUAGUAAAAUUUAUACCUAUAAAAAUACACAUAUACAUGUUAGACAAACAUCAAAACACUAACACUUAAAAAUGAAUUUCAAUAUUGGGGGUUCAUCUUCUUUUAUAAUUUCAUCUUCUUCCUCUUCUUCAGACUCAUCUGAGUUGGAUGACUGGUUAGAAGAUCAAAAUGCAGCAAUAGAAAGAGAGCAACAAAUUGCAGUCAAUUUUUUUGUGAACAACAAUCGUGUUAUUCCCCAACUCACUUAAGAAAACGAUCAUGUCAGUCACCGGGGAUCUAUUUAUGGUCAUGCCGUCAUACACCGUGAUAGAGAAAAUGUACACCGAAUCUGUUCAGUGAUUACUUUUUGGAGAAUGCUCUAUAUGGCGAGCGAGAUUUCAACCGCCGGUUUCGAAUGUCAAAAAGAUUGUUUCUUCACAUUGUUGAGGCUGUUAAACAACAUCACAACUACUUCACUCAGCGACGCAUUGCAUCUGGUAGAAAGGGUUUAUCAAUCUUGCAAAAAGUGACAGCCGCUUUUUGGAUCUUGGCGUAUGGUAUGCCUGCUGAUGCGACAUAUGAGUACAUCGAAAUAGGAGAGUCUACAGCAAUUGAAUGCAUGAAGAGAUUUUGUCGCGCAAUUAUAGAAGUAUUUUCGGAGCGGUAUAACUUUGAAGCUGUCGCUGAUUAUGAUUUGUGGAUAUGGCAUGCCUACUUUGGUAUGCCGGGUUGCAACAACGACAUUAACGUCUUGAAGUCAUCUAAUUUGUUUUCAAAGCUUGCUCAAGGUACCGCUCCUCCAGCUAAUAAUAUUAUUCAUGGAAGAGAGUAUAAUAUGGGUUACUAUUUAGCUGAUGGAAUUUAUCCAAAGUGGUCAACUAUUGUUGAAAUAGUGAUCCCCAAGGUCCAAAGAAAAAAUUGUUUGCAGCAAGACAAGAAGCAUGCCGAAAAGAUGUUGAACGUGCAUUUGGAGUUCUACAAUCUAAGUUUGCUAUCAUAAAAGGGCCGUACCAUUACUGGAAAAAGGAGUUAUUGCAUGAUAUAAUGACAGCAUGCAUUAUCAUGCAUAACAUGAUUAUUGAAGAUGAACGUGAUAUCAACGCAACAAUUAGAGAUGCAAGAUCGGCGACAGUGGCACAAGUUGAAAUGGCAAUAAACGAGAAUGCUCGUUUUCAAAACUUUUUAGCUCGUAAUCUUCAAAUAAAAAAUAAAGAGGCUCAUUUAUCACUUCGAAAUGCUUUAAUUGAUCAUAUAUGGGAUCAUUAUGGAGGUAAUUAUAAUGAAUAAAUAUGUAAUUUAUUUAUUUUUAUGCAAUGUUUAAUUAUAAUAUAAUAUUUUAAAAUUAAUUUAUCUUUAUAAUAAUUUUGUUGGAUAUUUAUAGCUAUUGUAAAAGAUGUAUGCUUCUAAUUAAGUUUUUUUUUAAAUAUAAGGACUAUUAUGUAAAAUAGAAAAGUUUUAAGGGUUAUUAUUGAGAUUUUAGAGAAUUAAGAAGGUAUUGAGAGAUUAAGAAAGAUUAAAGAGGAGUUUAGUGAAAGAUUUAAACGAGUAUCAUAGUUUGAGAGUGAUUAAGAGACUUUGAGAUUCAAACUAGAGAGAGAGUAGAGAAAGAGUGAUUCAAUCUCGUUAGUCAUUAAUCUGAUGAGGUUACAACUUAUAUAGUAUGAGAGCUUAGGGUUUACAAGGUUUAAAGAUAAGCUAAAGCAUGUGUAGUCCCAAGAGAGGAGCGCAUAUCAUAAAGCACCCAAUGAGCUUCUUCCCGCGUGUGAAGCAUCUUGGAUCUUUGACUAGGAUGCUGACAGUCUGUCACAGCCUUUCAGAUGCACUCCUCAAGCUCUCUCAACGGUCUGAUCCAAGUAGAGCAUGGUAGAAGGUAAGAAUGAUCCGUUCACUCCCUUCUCGGUUAAACGAUCAUGGUAACUUCUUCUUUACCUUGUACGGCCACAUUGUACGGCUUGUCCGUACACUCACAUCCUUAACUUCAUCCUCAAGCCUCUAACCUUCUCUUGCUUCAUAUCACAUAGUUGCAUCACCUCAUUUCAACACUCCCCCUCAAGCUUAACCAUGUGGAACAAGUUAAGCUUGGAAGGACCAUGGAAUCUUCCUCAUUAAAAACCUUACCAAAGAAAACCCAUUUGGGACAAAACUUUGAUAAGGGAAAAAGAGUAAAGACCUCAUGAUCAGGGGACUAUUCUAUGGGUGAAAGAUCAAUGAGUCCUAACCUGAUGUGUAUGGACUCCAUUGUCUUUUGUCUUGCUGCCUUGGUGGAUACAUCUGCUAACUGAUCCUCACUCCUUGUAUAGCAUGGCAAGAUUACUCCCAAAACGAUCAUCUGCCUCACCUUGUGGCAGUCUACUUCAAUGUGCUUGGUUCUCUCAUGGAACACUGAGUUAGUUGCAAUGUGUAUAGCUGCUUGGUUGUCGCAAUGCAUAGUCAUUGGUGUAGCUUGCUCUAUCUCCAAAUGUUUCAAGAUCCCUUUUAUCCACACCAACUCAUUUGUCAGCUUCAGCAUUGCCCUAUACUCAGCUUCAGCACUUGAGUAAGAUACUACUUUCUGCUUCUUGCUCUUCCAUGUCACAAGAUUGCCUCCAAUGAAUGUACAAUAGCCGGUAGUUGAUCUUCUGUCUGCUCUAUGUCCUGCCCAAUCAGCAUCACAAUAGCCCACCACUUCAGUACUCUUGUUGCAUCCCAUCCAAACUCCAAGGCCUGAUGUACCGUUCAGAUACAAGAGGAGUCUCUCCACCAUUCGCCAAUGAUGCUCAUUUGGGACUUGCAUAUGCUGGCUCACUUGAUUCACAGCAAAGCAUAUAUCCGGACGUGUGAUGGUAAGGUAGAUGAGCUUCCCUACCAGCUUUCUGUAUAGCUUUGGAUCAUGAAAGACCUUGCUAUCUUCAACCUCCCCCUCACGUGGAACCUUGUCUCCAUCUUCAAGAGGCAUCCUUGCUGUCUUAUCUCCUUGUAUACCUGCAUCUUUCAAAAGAUCAAGUGUAUACUUCCUUUGGGAAAUGAACUGUAACGACCCGGGUUUCUUAAACCAUGGUCUUCUUUUAUUUUUCAAUUUAAUUUCCCCAAACCAUUCACUAAACCGAGUUGGUUUAAUUAAUUAAUUAAGAAACGUAUAAACCAUUCGGUCUUUUACCUUUCUCAAGUGUGUAUGGGGUUAUAUAUACCUAAUAAUAUAUAUGCACCAUCUUCUUCUUCUCAAGGCAGCCGCCUCCUCCAUCCAAGCUUCUUCGAUCUCCAAUGAUAUCUCUUUCGUGAUCUCUAAUCCUUCUUCUUGAGCCCAGAGUGCUUUGCCAUCGUAGAGGACGUGACGCACCCACCAUCUUCAAUCACUACCGACACUGUUUCUCACCGCCACCGUCACCGAUCCACACGACCAUCAGUGGUGACCCACCGGCGGUGCAUCCCAUGUCACCGGAGACGUUGCUGUAUUGUCAAAGGUUAUGUCGUGUGGUUAACCAAGGAGAAGCGUGAGAUCUUAGGGUAAGAUUACCUCUUUCUUGCGGACCAAGGCUCCUCUCUUCCUUUUGAUUAAUCGCUUGCCACCUGAGUUGUCAACCGUGAACUUACGUCAUAUUUAUGUUUAUCAUGCAUGUGCAUAUUUGAUAUGCUCCUCACGUGAUGAUGGUGAGAAGCUAAGACCGGGUGUAAACCCUAUCGUUUCUUAAUGAUCAAGUUAUCUCGUUCUUUUGAUUCUCUUCCGGUUCUCAUAUUUUGGCUAAGGUGAGGGUUCUUUUCUCGAGUUUCUCUUACACGGCUUAGGACCUCGAAUAAGUAUAAUUUAUUUCUAAUGUGUUUCCGUCUGUGUGAAAUCGAGUCUAUUAUUGCUUGUUUAGUUUUUAGGUUCUUUGCUUAAACCGGAACUAGGGUGUUAGAGGAUUCAACAAUGAUUGUUUCAUUUAAAAUUGGUAAAUAAAAAUAGAUUAUUUUAUUAGGAGUUAUUUGAUUGUCUGAGAUGGAUACAGAGACGGACUUCUGUAUGCCGGAUUAUUUGGAGGUUACGGUCAGCUAUAGUCGACCGGUUGACGCGUAACCCAGGUGGUCGAUAAAUCGUCUACGGGCGUGUGUUACCGAGCACUUGUUCGGUGUGUGUAUGAACCGAGCACAUUUUCGGUGGUGUUUGGCCUGUUAGUGGGCAGCGGGUGUGCACCUCGCUAGGACUGUUGUAUGAUCUUUGGGUACUUUAGGUACCGUGUUUGUAAUGUGUUAGGAUUAAAUUAUAUUUAUUCGGAGUGCUCUGUCCGGGUCCAUGGACUUCGGGUUUAGUAUCCCAUACCUCACUGGGUAACUCACCUGUUACUCACCCCUCUCUCUUCCCCAUUUCAGGUGAGACUGACGAGUAUAUGAUAUUUGGAUGGAUUGGUGCUACUGGGCUUUUUAUUCGGACUUUUAUUUGGGUAUAGAGUGAGUGGAGUCGUGUAUAUGGGAUAUUGUGUUAUGAGAUAUUGUUGGUGGCACGCUGUUCUCCAGAUAGGAGGUGACGGGUGUCACAAUUUGGUAUCCGAGCGGGGUUCCGUCCCGGCCUCGACCCGGGAUGGCGAUUAGGGGAUUCGGUUUUUUACGUUUUUUUUUUUUAAAAAGUAUAAAUAAUUUUUAUAUAUAUAUAAUAAGAAAAAAAAAUGUUUGCGAAGUUCUUUUAGCACCAUUCUGUCCAGUAAUUACUAACUCAAUUGUCUCUUUCUAUGACGAUGAGUAAAAUCAUCGUCAUUCAUCCUUCGACUAAUAGGGUUCUAGCCAGAUGUUCAGCAGCAGAUGUGUGAUGUCUCAGUUCGUCAGUUUUCUCAGGAGUUAUCAGUUUCUCCGAUCAUGAUUUCGAGAUUAUCCAGGAGUGGAUAUGUGACGUUUUUGCUUCCACCCUACUUCAAGCAAUCGUUCCACGAGUUUUUGUUACUGGAGAUUAUGUGGUGUGACGUAUGAGCCACUGGUUGGCAUGUGUUGUUUUGUGUACGAGUAUAUCGACUAUCUUGGAGGUAUAUUUGGUUUGUGAACUCGUGGAGAUCGCUUUUGAAUUGGGGUGCAGCAGCUUGCGUUGUGUUGAUACGCUUGGUUUUGUUUGCCAGUUUUUGGCAUUGUUGAUCGUUUCAGAGGUGUGUCAGUUCGGACAACUGACAUAGGACAUUGAGAGCUAUUUAUAUAUGAGUUGUACCAUUUAUGCAUGGAGGAGUCGAGUUUUUCAGAGAUUCGUCAGAGAUGGAACUAAGUUUAUGCGAUGUCAUUCUUGAGAAGGAAUGGAUGUCAUGACAUCAAGUAGUGUUGAUUUGCCUGAGGGCAAGAGUUUUUAUUCUGGGAUACGAUGAGAGUUUUUACUAUCUGCAUGCUACAUGCUAAGGAGUUAUUGGAUAUAUGAGUAAAUGGAUGUUUGGUGACCAUUUCGAUGGUUAAGGACGAUGGACAACAUGAGUUGCAGGAUCUUGGGGUUAUUGCAUAGUAUCAGGAUGUAUUUGAGGCCUUUGGAAGGGCCGUCACCAGCAAGAGGAGCCGUUUUCUUACGAUCGGGUUGGAGUCAGGGACAGAACCGGUUUCACAUUUUCAAUACAGAUUAGCGGCAGCAGAGAUGACCGAGCUUAAAGAGCAUAUGGAAGAUUCACUAGACAUGGGUUUUACUAGACCGAGUACUUCACCGUGAGGAGCAUCAUUAUUUUUGUAAAGAAGAAAUAUGAGAGUUUCAGAAUUUUAUCGACUACAUAGAUCUGAACAAAGGGACCCUUAAGGAUAAGUAUCGCUUCCGCGUAUUGAUGAGUUGUUGGAUUACCUACAAGAGGUUCAUAAUUCUUGAAGAUUGAAUUGAUAUCACGAUACCACCAGAUUGCGAUAGAUGACGAGGAUGUGCGGAAGACAGCCUUCCAGAGUUGUGAUGUUGUCAUUUGGGUUGACGACCACACCAGUAGCAUUCGGGGAACUUUUGAAUGAUGUUUCAUGAACACUUGGAUAAAUACAUGAUUGUAUUCAUGGACGACAUCCUGAUAUAUUCUCGGAGUAGAGAGGAGCAUGCUGAGCAUUUACGAAUUGUGCUAGAUAAGCUUGGAGAGCAUAAAAUUGUUUGCUAGCUGAGUAGGUGUAGCUUCUGGCAGAAAAAAAAAUAGAUUUUUGGUCACGUGUUUCAGAACCAGAAGUUGAUUCAUAUUCAAAAAAAGAUAAUUACAAGUUUAGAGUGGUCGACACCUAAGAGAUACAUAGAUAUGAAGUCUUAAUAUUAUUGGCCUAGAGUGGAAAAGAACAAAGAUGUAGCUACAUUUUGUCUAUGUCAGACUUGUCAGAUGGUUAAAAUAGAACAUCAAAUAUUUAUGGGAUUAUUACCUAAUUUAAUUCUUAGAGAUUGGAAAUGGGAUAUGUUGAUUGUGGGGUUUCCUCAUUGGACUAUGUAAGUCAAUUUUCACGAAGAUUAAUGUAUGAGCGAACAUGGACCAUCUCGCUAAGUUAAACUCGAGAGGGCAUCCUCAGGACUUGUCUUUGCUCGCAGGAGAAAAAAAAAAUUAAGGAAAGCUUCUACCACUGGAAUAGUUCAUGUACAGUAAUAAUUAUCACUGGGGCAUUCAGAUAUCACUUUAGGAGGUUCUUUAUGGAAGAUCAUUCACACACAUGCUAAACCAAAGUGGGGAAGCACUAUGGUGUAUAGCAACCAGUGGUUUAAAGGUCAUUGAAGCAAAUAGAAAUGCUCAACAACCACCUAAAGGAAAUUGAUGGCAAAAAAAAAAAAUGCAGUUAAUACUGGAGUUGGAAGUUCAGUUGGAUAAUUUAAACCUAAAUAUAUGUGACCGUACCCCUUUGUGGAGCAAUGGUUUGUAGAUUUCAGUGAUCAGCUAAGUUGUCAGAAUUCCUUGACGGGUUAGUAUUCAAGAAGGUCGUGAGAUAGCAAGAGUUCAUGUUGCAGCAGCCACCAAACGAUUUCGGUAAAUAAAAAAAAAAAAAACUGGUGUUGCGUGUUUCAGCUAAUGGAGAUUAUGGAUCAACAAGAAAAAAUGGUCCAGAAAAUGAUGACCAUGUUCGUCAAAAUUUGAUGAGAGAGACAAGAUCGAGAAGGAGACCCAGGAGACGGAGAUCCAGAUGAUGAUUACCUAUCCAGAGCUUUCUCAGGAUGGUAUAAAACAACAGGGCUCAAGAUUUGAAUUCGAGGACGAAUUCCGUUUAAGUGGGAAAGAAUUGUAACGACCCGGGUUUCUUAAACCAUGGUCUUCUUUUAUUUUUCAAUUUAAUUUCCCCAAACCAUUCACUAAACCGAGUUGGUUUAAUUAAUUAAUUAAGAAACGUAUAAACCAUUCGGUCUUUUACCUUUCUCAAGUGUGUAUGGGGUUAUAUAUACCUAAUAAUAUAUAUGCACCAUCUUCUUCUUCUCAAGGCAGCCGCCUCCUCCAUCCAAGCUUCUUCGAUCUCCCAUGAUAUCUCUUUCGUGAUCUCUAAUCCUUCUUCUUGAGCCCAGAGUGCUUUGCCAUCGUAGAGGACGUGACGCACCCACCAUCUUCAAUCAAUACCGACACCGUUUCUCACCGCCACCGUCACCGAUCCACACGACCAUCAGUGGUGACCCACCGGCGGUGCAUCCCAUGUCACCGGAGACGUUGAUGUAUUGUCAAAGGUUAUGUCGUGUGGUUAACCAAGGAGAAGCGUGAGAUCUUAGGGUAAGAUUACCUCUUUCUUGCGGACCAAGGCUCCUCUCUUCCUUUUGAUUAAUCGCUUGCCACCUGAGUUGUCAACCGUGAACUUACGUCAUAUUUAUGUUUAUCAUGCAUGUGCAUAUUUGAUAUGCUCCUCACGUGAUGAUGGUGAGAAGCUAAGACCGGGUGUAAACCCUAUCGUUUCUUAAUGAUCAAGUUAUCUCGUUCUUUUGAUUCUCUUCCGGUUCUCAUAUUUUGGCUAAGGUGAGGGUUCUUUUCUCGAGUUUCUCUUACACGGCUUAGGACCUCCAAUAAGUAUAAUUUAUUUCUAAUGUGUUUCCGUCUGUGUGAAAUCGAGUCUAUUAUUGCUUGUUUAGUUUUUAGGUUCUUUGCUUAAACCGGAACUAGGGUGUUAGAGGAUUCAACAAUGAUUGUUUCAUUUAAAAUUGGUAAAUAAAAAUAGAUUAUUUUAUUAGGAGUUAUUUGAUUGUCUGAGAUGGAUACAGAGACGGACUUCUGUAUGCCGGAUUGUUUGGAGGUUACGGUCAGCUAUAGUCGACCGGUUGACGCGUAACCCAGGUGGUCGAUAAAUCGUCUACGGGCGUGUGUUACCGAGCACUUGUUCGGUGUGUGUAUGAACCGAGCACAUUUUCGGUGGUGUUUGGCCUGUUAGUGGGCAGCGGGUGUGCACCUCGCUAGGACUGUUGUAUGAUCUUUGGGUACUUUAGGUACCGUGUUUGUAAUGUGUUAGGAUUAAAUUAUAUUUAUUCGGAGUGCUCUGUCCGGGUCCAUGGACUUCGGGUUUAGUAUCCCAUACCUCAUGUUGAGAUGAAGCAAUAAAGAUCAAGAGUAAAGGCCUGAAGAAUCAGAACUAUGGAAACAAGAGGGAAAGAGCAAUUUGAAUCAAGCCAUACAGUUUGCCCUAAUCCGUAACAAGAGUGUCUUGGAAGGCAAGCAAGGGUGUGGGAGUUUUUAAAUGUCUCACCAUCAGUCUCCAGAAGGUCUGGAAUAGUUUAAACAAGUGGGAGCAAGUGGAUGGAUCUGUUGGAGCUCAAAGACAAGCCAAAGUCACAUGUUAAGCUAAGGAUGUAAGAGAAAGAGGAGAUGUCACUUUCAUGGCUCAGUUGAGAGUGACUUGAUCCCAUGCUGUCUCCAUUUGUUUAUUAAUUCCUAUUGUCUCAUUAGAAACUCUUGUAUCUAUUUAUGUAACAUGUCUGAGAAAUUAAUAAAGUAAGGGAAUAAGAGAUUCCUCCUUCUUACUCUCUCACUUUGCAACAAUCUCUCUCUUUCUUAUUCUUAUGGUUCUAACUUAAUCUCCUUAAUCUAUACACAUAACCAUCUCAUAAAUCAUUAAAACUCACAUGGUAUCAAAGCAAUGUUCAUAAAUAGUACUUGAUCUAGAGAACACACUCUUGCAAUGCUUGCCUAGAAUACAAGCCUCACAAUCACUUUUAAAGGAAAUACUUGGAAUCAUGAUGUUCAAAGCACGAGAAUGGGGAUGUCCUAAUCUAGCAUGCCAUAAUACAUCUUUAGGUAAAGUAGAAAUAUAAUUUAGAGCAUAAGAUAAAUCAGAUGAUAGCUUAGUGUCUUCAAGUAAGUACAAGUCUCCCUUGGUUACACCUUUGCCAAGCAACCUACUAGUUUCAAUAUCCUGAAAGUAAACAUCAUUAGGAGUGAAAGUAACACUACAAUUCAAGUCAUUAGUAGCUCUUUUAAUUGAUAACAAGUUUGAGGUAAAACUAGGCAUAUAGAAAGCUUUAGAAUCUUUAUCAAAUAGCCUAAGAUCACCUACACCUUUGAUUGGUACUUUCUCUCCAUUAGCUAUCAUAACAUUUCCUAGGGCAGGAACAAUGUUUUUAAUUAAGCUAAGAUCACUAAUCAUGUGGUGACUUGCCCCUGAAUCUAUAACUAAAGAUUUUGUAAUUUUAGGUUCAGUUAAAGCAUUCAGCAAGAUACCACAAGUGGAGGCAUGUAAAGAGGUACCAAGUGUGUUACCAGAGUUAUCCUUGAGGAGUUUGAUGAGAGCCUCAAUGUCAGAACGUCUGAUGACUUCAUCUUGAUUGUUCCUCAAGGUAAGGUUGCCACUGGAAGCUAGAGCCUUGCCUUCACCACCUGCUGGAGCAGAGCGCAUGGUAGCUGGAGUAGAUGGCUCUCCCAUGUCACCAGAGAAGUUGGCUCUUGCAUCAUUGUAGUUGGUUCUGAACUUUUGUGGCUUGAGGUGAGGAUGGAGGAUCCAGCACUUGUCCUUUCCAUGGCCUUUAUUCUUGCAAUGAUCACAGAUCCACACCUUCUUGUCUUCAGUCUUGUAGGUGCCUUUAUUUGCAAGUCCUUCAGCUUGGUUUGCUAGUACCAAGUCUUGCUUGCGUCCAAAGAGCCCCACUGAUCCUUGUUCUUUCUGAAUCCUAGCACAAACUUCUUCAAGGGAUGGGAGUUCCUUGUCUCUUAAGAUAUGCUUGAUUAGAUCAUUGUAUCCAGGGUUGAGAGUAGAGAGUAGUGCAAACACCUUGUCUUGUUCUCUCCUUUCAUUCAACACAUCUGGAUCAAUAGUUGCUGGCCUUAACAUCUCUAGCUCAGCCCACAGAGAUCUGAACUUCCCAAAAUGUUUAUCAAAGUCAUUGUCCUCUUGACUGAGAGAGUAUUGAUAGCCCUCUUGACUUAAUCCACUCUGAUGUAUGGACUGCUCCAUGCAUAUCUAGAGAACAUCAUAAGUAUUUUGUGACCUUUAUAGAUGAGAAAUCAAAGUAUACAUGGAUCACAUUAUUACAAUCUAAAGAUUGGGUCUUAGAAGCUUUCAUAAAUUUUCAAACCCAUGUAUCUAACCACUUUAAUGCCAAGAUUAAGAUUUUGAGAUCAGAUAAUGGAGGAGAAUACACAAGCAAUGCUUUCAAACAACACUUAGCCAAACAUGGGAUGAUCCACCAAACUAGCUGUCCAUAUACUCCACAACAAAAUGGUGUAGCUGAGAGAAAGAAUAGACAUCUCAUGGAGGUGGCAAGGAGCAUGAUGUUUCACACAAGUGUGCCCAAGCGAUUUUGGGGAGAUGCAGUUUUAACAGCUUGCUAUCUAAUCAAUAGGAUCUCCACAAAAGUCCUUCAAGAUCAAUCCCCUUAUGAGGUACUUAACAAAAACAAAUCAUCUAUAGAACAUAUGCGUGUGUUUGGGUGUCUUUGCUUUGUUUUGAUACCAGGAGAACAAAGAGAUAAGCUGUCAGCCAAGAGCACAAAGGCAAUAUUUAUUGGGUACUCUCCUCACCAGAAAGGCUAUAAGUGUUAUGUACCAGAGACCAGGAGGGUCUUAGUCUCAAGAGAUGUGAAAUUUGUGGAAUCCAGAGGCUACUAUGAUGGAAAGAGUUGGGAAGAGUUAGAGAAUCUGUCCCAAUCAGCCUCGGAUAGAGCCAACAAUCUAAGGAGAGUAAUGGAAAGACUUGGGAUCAGUAUACACCAAGAGAAAGGGGCCAGUACACCUGAGGCGAGUCCCCACCAGUCCACUCCAUCUACUGAAGUUGAUACUGAUGUGAUUAAGAUUCCUCACCUUGAUCCUAAGGGGGACAAUCAAGCUGAACAUAAUCAGGAGGAUUCAGCAAGUCAUGAUCAAGCUGAGCAUCAUACAGAAGAGGAGCAGGAUCAUCACACUACUCAAGAGGAGCCAGUAGUGAUUGCAAGCCAGCCUCAGCCUAAUAGUGAUCAAAUAGGAACUGAGGAAAGUAGUUCACAGCAGCCGGUUCUAAGAAGAAGUUCUAGGAUCAGAAAGCCGGUUGAUCUAAACUGGAAGAACAACAGGGUCUACUUCAAUGCUCAAGCUGUGGCCCAUCCUAUACAAGGAGUGUGCUCUCUAGCUCAUUAUCCCCAAGAACAUGUGGUGUUUAUUGGAGAGUUGGAUCAGGAAUACAUUCCAAGGUCUUAUGAGGAAGCUAUGGAGCAUGAGGAAUGGAAAGAAUCAGUGGGCAGUGAGACUAAUGCCAUGAUCAUCAAUGAUACAUGGUAUGAAGCUGAACUACCUAAAGGCAAGAGAGCUGUAACAAGCCGCUGGAUCUUCACCAUCAAGUACAAUGCUGAUGGGACAGUAGAAAGGCGCAAGACAAGACUAGUAGCAAGGGGCUUCACUCAAACAUAUGGAGAGGAUUACCUAGAUACCUUUGCACCAGUUGCUAAACUUCACACCAUAAGGAUAAUCCUAUCUUUGGCUGUCAACUUAGAGUGGGAUCUAUGGCAAAUGGAUGUGAAGAAUGCUUUCCUACAAGGAGAACUAGAAGAUGAAGUCUAUAUGAGGCCACCUCCUGGCCUAGAACACCUAGUAAAGCCUGGAAAUGUUCUUAGACUCAAGAAGGCUAUCUACGGACUAAAACAAUCACCUAGGGCAUGGUACCACAAGCUCAGCACCACACUCAAUGGAAGGGGCUUUGUGAAAUCUGAGGCAGAUCAUACUCUCUUUACACUCACCAGCAAGCAAGGGAUUGUUGUGAUCUUAGUAUAUGUUGAUGAUAUCAUCAUCACCGGGAGUGACAAAGAAGGUAUACUCCUAACUAAAGCUUUUCUUAAAUCAUCUUUUGAUAUCAAAGACUUGGGAGAGUUAAAGUACUUUCUAGGGAUUGAGAUGUGCCGAUCCAAGGAUGGGCUAUUCUUAUCCCAAAGGAAGUACACACUUGAUCUUCUGAAUGAGGCAGGUGAUCUAGGAGGAAGAGCAGCCAAGACUCCACUAGAAGAUGGGUAUAAGGUGCUGCGUGAGGGGGAGAUUGAAGACAAGCCCUAUGCUGAUGUUAAACACUAUAGGAGAAUGGUGGGAAAGCUGAUAUACCUCACCAUCACCAGGCCUGAUGUAUGCUUUGCAGUUAACCAAGUAAGCCAGCCCAUGCAAGCUCCCAAGAUACACCAUUGGAACAUGGUUGAAAGGAUCCUAAGAUACCUAAGAGAGGCGCCAGGGCAAGGAGUGUGGAUGGGAUGCAACAAAAGUACAGAGAUAGCUGGGUAUUGUGAUGCUGACUGGGCAGGAGACAGAGUGGAUAGGAGAUCCACCACAGGCUAUUGUACAUUUAUUGGAGGCAAUCUUGUCACUUGGAAGAGCAAGAAACAGAAGAUAGUGGCAUGCUCAAGUGCUGAAGCUGAAUAUAGGGCAAUGAGGAAGCUCACUAGUGAGUUGAUCUGGAUCAGAAACCUACUUCAAGACUUGGGUAUAGAGACAUCAACUCCAAUCACCAUGCAUUGUGAUAAUCAAGCUGCAAUACACAUAGCUUCCAACAGUGUGUUCCAUGAGAGGACUAAACACAUUGAGGUGGACUGUCAUAAAGUUAGGCAAGCAGUAGAACAAAGGAUCAUCUUACCUUGUUACACAAGAAGUGAGGAUCAACUAGCUGACAUCUUCACCAAGGCUGCAAGCACCAAGGUUUGCGAGUUCAUACAUUUAGGACUCGUAGAUCUUUCAUCACACUGAUCCUCUUAGCCAUGAAGUGUUCUACUCUUUUUCCUUGGCUUGGUUUUUAUCCCAUGAGGUUUUUCCAAGCUAAAGGUUUUAAUGAGGGAAUGCUUCAUGGUUUCCAAGCUUGGCCAAUUCCUAUUGUCAAGCUUGAGGGGGAGUGUUGAGAUGAAGCAAUAAAGAUCAAGAGUAAAGGCCUGAAGAAUCAGAACUAUGGAAACAAGAGGGAAAGAGCAAUUUGAAUCAAGCCAUACAGUUUGCCCUAAUCCGUAACAAGAGUGUCUUGGAAGGCAAGCAAGGGUGUGGGAGUUUUUAAAUGUCUCACCAUCAGUCUCCAUAAGGUCUGGAAUAGUUUAAACAAGUGGGAGCAAGUGGAUGGAUCUGUUGGAGCUCAAAGACAAGCCAAAGUCACAUGUUAAGCUAAGGAUGUAAGAGAAAGAGGAGAUGUCACUUUCAUGGCUCAGUUGAGAGUGACUUGAUCCCAUGCUGUCUCCAUUUGUUUAUUAAUUCCUAUUGUCUCAUUAGAAACUCUUGUAUCUAUUUAUGUAACAUGUCUGAGAAAUUAAUAAAGUAAGGGAAUAAGAGAUUCCUCCUUCUUACUCUCUCACUUUGCAACAAUCUCUCUCUUUCUUAUUCUUAUGGUUCUAACUUAAUCUCCUUAAUCUAUACACAUAACCAUCUCAUAAAUCAUUAAAACUCACACCUCACUGGGUAACUCACCUGUUACUCACCCCUCUCUCUUCCCCAUUUCAGGUGAGACUGACGAGUAUAUGAUAUUUGGAUGGAUUGGUGCUACUGGGCUUUUUAUUCGGACUUUUAUUUGGGUAUAGAGUGAGUGGAGUCGUGUAUAUGGGAUAUUGUGUUAUGAGAUAUUGUUGGUGGCACGCUGUUCUCCAGAUAGGAGGUGACGGGUGUCACAUGAACAAUCCUUCCUUAGAUCUACACAACUCAAUUCCAAGGAAGUAUUUCAUUUCUCCUAAGUCUUUAAUUUCAAAUACAGAUUUUAAAAACUCCUUGGUGGCUUUUAUACCAGCCUUAUCACUACCUGUUAUGAUGAUAUCAUCAACAUACACAAGUAGACAAAUGAUACCUGAGGGUGAAGUAAGUGUGAAGAGAGUAUGAUCCAAUUCUGACUUCUUGAAUCCACGCCCAUUUAAAGUAGUGCUCAGCUUGUUGUACCAUGCUCUAGGAGAUUGUUUUAACCCAUAGAUAGCCUUCUUGAGUCUCAACACAUUUCCAGGUUUCACAAGAUGCCCUAGGCCUGGUGGUGGAUGCAUAUGCACUUCAUCUUCUAUCUCUCCUUGAAGAAAGGCAUUCUUCAGAUCCAUCUGCCAAAGCUCCCACUCAAGAUUCACAGCCAGAGAUAAUACAAUUCUUAUUGUAUGGAGCUUAGCAACAGGAGCAAAGGUGUCAAUGUAGUCUUCCCCAUAUGUUUGAGUGUAUCCUCUAGCCACCAGUCUUGUCUUCUUUCUCUCAAUAGUCCCAUCAGGCUUGUACUUGAUAGUGAAUAUCCACUUGCUAGUUACUGCCUUCUUUCCUUUUGGCAGUUCACUUUCAAACCAAGUAUCAUUCUUUAUCAUGGCAUUAGCUUCAUCACCUACUGAUUCCUUCCAGUGUUCAUGUAACAUUGCAUCUUCAUAUGAUCUAGGCACAUAGAUUCCAUCUAAGCUGAUCAUAAAUGCACAAUGCUCUUCUGGAUAGCACGCAAAUGAGCACACAGCUUGAGAGGGAUGCUCCACAGCUUGGGCAUUGUAGUACACUUUUGUGUUUACCCAGUUGGAAGCAUCUCUCUUUAACCGUGUGCUUCUCCUCAAUGGAACUACUACAUUCUCUUCCACGGCUUCUUCUGGUAUCUGACUUUCUUCACUACCUUCCUGACCUCCAUGUUGAUCACUUCCCCUUGAGUCAUCUUCACUUUGAACAUGAGAGUCUGCGCUUUGUUGUUGAUUUUCGGCUUCACUUGUUCCUUGAACUUCAGUAUCAGCAGAUUCACUUCCCCCUUCAUGUUCUAAGUGAGAUAAUUCUUCAACUCUAACAGGUGAAGUUUCUUGGCGUUUGUGUUGAAUCCAAAAUUUCCAAAAUGUCGCGUCUGGUGUCUCGACAUCGAUCGAUGGUACUUGUGUACAUCGAUCGAGAUUAAUCUUCAUCAUUCGAGGCAUUUCAUGAUAUCGAUCGUCAGCACUGAUGCGCAUCGAUCGAUUGUUCUUCCUCUCGUCGACCUCUAAGUGGUCAGCUCGGGUGAAAUGUCCUUUAAGCUCCAAAAUGCUCCAAAGUCAGAGCUUUACUCCGAAAUGCACCUGAACCUGAAAACAUACCUAGAGGAGUAGAAAACAUAGAUAUAUAUAUAUAUAUAUAUAUAUAUAUAUAUAUAUAUAUAGUAAAACACCUAUAUACCAUGGAUAAAAAUGGGUCAAAUCCAAGGUAUAUCAACUCCCCCAGACUUACCCUUUUGCUUGUCCUCAAGCAAAACAUACAGGCAGUCUCUCUGAAAGAGGUUUGAAAAUAUUUGGGGAUUUAAGAUUUUAAAACAUAGAAAUCUUUCCUCAACAAUUUUGCAACCCCAUUUAAAAAGUCCUAAUCACAAAAGCACACUAUGCAAUAUCCUAGCUUUGCAACUAUUUCUAACAUAACACAACUCAUCAAUUCACGUCUGACAUCCCAUCUACUGAUUUUAUUUCUUAGCAUAAAUAUAAAGUGAAUGCUUUACCUUGGAAGUAUCGAUCACAGGAUGCAAAGAUUUCAGACAGGUAUUUGGAGCUGCAGGUAAAAGUUAGUUCCUAGUUUCUCUAUCUCUAAUUUUCUCUCUUGAGUCAAAGUCUGCUUCCAUUGCAGGAUCAGUGACCAAGAUUGGACAGGCUUCCAUGAAUCAAAACUUAAUGGUGGUUGCCACCAAGUUCUGUUCACUUCUUUUUGACCUAUAUCCAAGAGUUCUUUGCGAAAGCGAGCCUUGAAGAUUGCCGCCUCCAAGUCCCAUUUCAAACUCUUUUAUUUGAGUCUUUAUGAAUCAAGCCUUAAUGGUUUUAGCCACCAAGUCCUGUUCAGACUCAUCCUAAUUAAACAAUAGAUCUUAUUUAUUAUUUUUUUUAUUAUAUAUAUAUAUAUAUAUAUUUUUUUUUCUUUUUAAAUACUCACUAACUAAUCUAGGGUCAAAAUUUAGAGAGAGAAAAUGUGAUAAAUAAUCUAAACCAGGCGUUACCUUCCAGACCUGUCUGAAGAAUCUGAUCCCAUGUAUACCAAGCCCCAAGACAAGCGGUUAUGUCAGGUUUAGUGUUGGAAAUCAGCUUUGGUUACUUCAUACGGUUCAAGGCAAGUGUGUAGUUGAUAGGUUGAUCCGCUUUAGCAUCUUUAGUGCUAUCUGCAAUCAGUAAAUCUAAAAUGAUGCUAAAGAUUGGUUAGAUAUUCAUGUUUAAAUCAAUAUAAGAUUAUAGUCCCUAUUUUCAAUAGCUAAGCAUAAUUUAUUUAAAUUUUUUUUUACAUAAGAAUAAAAUAAAUUAUAUCAGUAAAUCUCCUCCCAGACUUAAAUUACACUGUCCCAGUGUAACUCAGCCGGAGUUAUGACGAAUAGUUUACGAUGUACAAAAUGUAACCAGUAAAGAAGAUACAUCUGACCGGAUUAGAUAUCGAUCGAUGUGUAAGUGUUACAUCGAUCGUCGUGUGGUUAUCUAUGUCGAGCGAUGUCGACGUCUCGUCGUCGGUCGAUAUUCAGGUCCUCCUACUUGGGUCUCCUAAAUCUGAAAGAAAUAAAACGAAAGGAAAUAAAUGCUAGCUAAUAAAACCUAAAUAAAAUACCUAAUAGUGGGUUGCCUCCCACUCAGCGCUUGGUUAUAGUCAUUUAGCUUGACUGUGGUGGUGAUUGGCUAUUGUGUGGAGAAACAGCUGUGUAUCUUCUACCAAUGAUUUGAGCUCCUCUCCCAGUUUCUCUUGAGCUCCGCAAAUAACAAACACCAUCUCAUCGAUUUCAUCCUUGGUGUAGAGUUCUGGUGCCAGUGUUGUGAGUGUGAAAGAGGUGGCAUGUUCUGGAAGACAGAUGUGGCUCUUUUCAAAAGAGAUGUUCUUUCCAGUAAAUUCCUGAUGUUGUCCUUUGUGACAGGAAUCAUCUCACCAGCUAUACCUCGUGCGUGUCCACACUCAUCUCUGUAGACUCCAUACUCGUCCUUUUGUUCCCAAGUGAACUUUCUGGCUCCGUACAUGUCAAAAGCGCGGUUCCCACAUUCAUACCGUCUGUCGAUCGAUGUUGAAUUAUCCCUAUCGAUUGAUGUCUCCGUUGUACCGUCGAUCGAUGUUUUCCCUUUUGGUUGGCGUGAUAGAUCUGGAUUGAUCUCUGUUGUGGCGACUACUGCGUGGUUCUUAGGAUCUGUUUGAAUGACGUCUGGAGUGCCACGUUGCUGUGAGAAUAGGUUGUCAAGUCCAUUGGCUACUUGAAGGAUGUCUACUAUGUCCUCUCUGGACACUUGUAAAAUCCUUCCAUCCAUUGCACGUGCGUUGCCAUCUGGGUCCCUGAAAAUACCAAAUUCAUCAGGUGUUAGAAAACCGUAAUCAAUGUUUGCAUAAUCAUUCAAUUUAGAAGCAGAAAGAUUAGGGUUUAGAGUAGUAUCGAUCGAUGUAGAUACAGUUACAUCGAUCGAUGGCAGAGUAAUUUCUGCAGAACUUGUGUUCUUGAGAUGAUUGCUCUUCAUGGAUUUUUCUAUUGAUGUAGAAGGAAGAGUGUUCAUCUUUUUUGCUUGUGUGUUCGCUCUGAUGUGUGUAGGUGAUUUCGGGGGUGCAAAACGAUUUAUAUAGGUAUCUUUAAACCUAGUUGGAGAGGGAAUAUUCUCUUGCUCCUGAAUUUUCGCUGCGGUGCAAAUAUCGAUCGAUGUUCCUUUGUGGGUGUCGAUCGUUGUGAGCGGUUGUUUUGCUGGACGAGGGUGGGUAUCGACCGAUGUGGAGUGCACAGAGUCGAUCGAUGUUGGAAACGUGUUGGUGAACUUAUGUGUUUCAAGUCUUUCAUCCUGCAAAGACAUUUCUAUUGCACGUUCUUUCCAAUAAUCCUCAUCGUAUUCCUCGGUAUGUUCCUCAUUAGGUGAAGUAAUUACAGUGUCAACUGCAAAACUUUCAUGGAAACCACUGUCUGCCCAACUGCCUAAGGAAUAAUCAUCAUGUUCUCUCUUGCUUGGAGGUUGGAAGGCAAAGUGUUGGUGAAGCGAAACGGUCAACUGGGUGCAUUACGUCGAGUGACGUAUUGUUGUGGUCAUCGAUCACCGUUGACUCAUUGGAAUCGAUCGAUGGAAAGGUUGGGGGUGUCGAUCGAUUCCGAGUACUCUGUUUCGUACUCCAAUUCAUACUCUGCUCCACAAUGGCAUGUGCCAAUAAAGCCAAGUUCUUUCCCAUAAUCCACAGAAUUAAUGACCUUUCUCUUAGGUCGGAUGGGGUCGUAGUGGAUGUUUGGGUCUAUGAGCGUUAGACACAAUUUGUUUUUGUUCAUGUCACAUACAGCUCCUACUGUAGCUAGGAAAGAUCUUCCAAGCAGAAGUGAAGUGUUCAAGUUAAGCUCGAUGUCUAGGACAUGAAAAUCUACAGGGACAAGGGCAUUACCAAUCUGUACCUCCAGAUCUCUUAUGAUACCUCCUGAUCGUUUCUCUGAAAGAUCCACGAAGGUGAAGGAUUCCGUUGAAGGUUCGAUGGUCAAACCAAGCUGGUCUUCCAUGAUCCUAGGGAGGAUACUAACUGAUGCUCCUGUGUCACACAUUGAAUGGGGAAAUUCAACACCCUUGACUACGCAUGGUAUUGCAAACUUCCCAGGAUCACUCUUCUUCGUCAAUGUGAUCCUUUGUUUCUUCUUCUCUCUGAUUUGAUGAAACAUUCUCCUAAUGUCCUCCUCAGUUACCUUUGUUUCUCUGAAGAAGAUCCACAACCGGUGUGUGAAGUAAGCUUCAUCAAAAGGUUUUUCGAUUGGGAUUCUGAGGACUCGUUUAGUGAAACCAUCCAUCUCCUUAUCGUUAGCUUCCCUCUUAAGGGUUUUAGGAAUCUUCUCCUUUCUUUUCCUUAACCUUCUCCCUUCAGAUUCUUGUUCUUCUUGAACUGAUUUUGGUGAACUAUUUAAGGGGUUGGGUUUUGGUUCGGGUGGGUUUGCUAAUGGUUUAGGUGGUGGUCUGAGUGCGUUGAUGUAAUCAUUAUCGAUUGAGGGUAACCGCACUCGGUAUGUCAGAGGUGCCUGUCGAUCGAUGGGAGGUGUGUUGUGACGAUCGACUUCGGACUCACUAUGUCGAUCGAUGGUUGGCUCAACCGAUCGAUCGAUUUUAUCAUAGAAAGGGGAGGGUGGGUGAGGAUGCUUAGCUAUGAAUUCUUCAUGAGUUAUAAAUUCGAACCGCAUUGCAUUCAGUCGAUUUGGCAGACGACGUAGAUCGAUGACUGGAGUAUUCCGUCCAUCGAUCUUCAUCAUGGUCUGUUGAUCGAUACGAGUUCAUCGAGCUUUCGAUUUCGAAAUCUCAUUCCUCUAGCUUUUCAUUUCUCACCACUUGCCAGAAAUCAUCAUCCAUGAUGGCAUUUACGUGGUGUUUCCCUUUGUUGGCUCCUGCCUCUCUAGCGAAAGCUUCUUGCCUCUUCAUAGUCUCGCCCGUCUGAAUUACUUGGGUUUCAAGUUUUCUCACCUGAGUCCCUAAGGUCUCGAUUUUCGUGUUCAGAUUGUUGUAGGCGGAGUCUAUCUUACCGUUGAAAUCCACGGUGAUUUGUUGUUGUCCCAACAGUACUCGAUCAAGCAUCUCUUCGAUCUUGUUUUCCUGAGUCUGGGGUGGUGGAUAUUGGUAGUAAGAGUUCGAGUAGCUCUUGCUGUUGUUGAAGGGUUUUUGAAAUUGUGAACUUUGGUUACUUCUUUGGCCAUUUCCAAAAAAGUUUAUGUUUCCGCCCUGGUUUCCAAAUUUCUGGAAUCUGGUACUUCCGAUGUAGUUCACAUUUUCUUCUCCUUCCGUAUCUGCUACUUCUCCUUCAGCUGAACAGACUUGCUUCCUAAGAAGCUCGUGCACCACAUCUAACUUAGCUCUUACUUCGUCCAUCUGUUCCUUCCCGAUAGAGGCUACAGACUUCUUCCGUUCAGAGUCAGUGUUUUUGGUGCUGCUGCUGUUAGCAAGGUUUUCGAUAAGUCUCACAGCUUCCAACGGAUUCCGAGUAGUGAAGUUUCCUUCACUCGCCGUAUCAAGGGCCAUUUGAUACUGUAAGGCGAGACCUCGGAAGAAAGUGCUUAGCAGCUGCACUUCGUUAAAUCCGUGGUGUGGACAGUCUCGUUGGAAGAACCUAAAUCUAAUCCACGCAUCUUUGAAGGACUCUCCAGCCUUCUGGGAGAAUGUGAAAAUUUUGUUCCGAAGUUCUUCAGCGCGCGCCUCAUCGAAGAAGUUUUGUAAGAAAGCAUUCUUGAUGUCGCUCCAGGAUAUUAAAGAUCCUGUGGGUUGCUGCCUAAGCCAGUGCACCGCUUCUCCAUUCAGCGUGUUUCUGAAGAGCUUGCACAGCAGGUAAUCUUCGGGGACUCCUUCCAUCCUAAUAGCAGCGAUUAGAUCCUCGAACCGUUCCAAAUGGCCCAUAAGAUGCUCGUGCGGUAACCCAGAGUAAGGUAUCUGCGACACGAGAGUGUAGUAUUGAGGCUUCAGCUCGAAAUUCUGCUUCUGGAUCUUCGGAAGUCGAAUAGCUGAUUUGUUGGAAUAGUACUCAUCUGGGCGAUUGUAGUCGGCCAGUGGUUUCGAUCGAGCGUCCUCAUCUACAGGUUGAGCAGCUCCUGUAGCAUCAGCAUAAGGGAUUACAGUUCCCUGAGCAUCUAUUUUCUGACCUGUUGCAUUACGCAGAUGACCGGCCUGGUCAUACAGGUUUCCGUUCUCGUCCUGAGUUAGAAUAAUAAUGUUUACCAUUUUUAACGACACGGUAUCGAUCAACGUACGCGGUGUAGUAUCGAUCGUUGUCGAACGAUCGGGAUUGAUCGACGAUGAUGGUCUGGUGUCGGUCGACGGUUGGUUGUGCGUAUCAAUCGACGACGAAGUGGUUGCGUCGAGCGAUGUGGAACGUUGACCUCUACGGAUGGUGCGUUCCAAAUGAGCAGGAUCGUCUGAGAACAGCAAGUCUUUCUCCUUUUUGCUUAUGGUAUCACUGGGCAUGCACCUGAAAAUACAAGAAAAAAGAUUAUGAGAAAGGGGGUAAAGAAAAGAAUAAAAAUCAAUAAAACUAAAUCUAAUGGCGAUCAAAGCUCCCCGGCAACGGCGCCAAAUUUGAUACCACUCAAAUUACCCUAAGGAGUGUUACUCUCAUCAAAAGAGGUUCAGAUGUAGUACUUAGGGAUUGAAUCCACAAGGACCUAGGGAACAAUUAAAUCUAGUGUUUAUUAAUUCUAAAGGUUGUAAAUGUCUAAAUGAAAUAGCAAUAGUAACAAGCGAGUAAAUAAUAAAUAUAACUUGGUUGGAAAUGAUAUUAGAUGCAGGGCCACUAUUCAGGUGUUGGAGUUAUAAUACCUAUAGAUGCCUAACUGUUUCAUGCAUGAUAUACUAGAGCUCAUUCGCUUAACUCAGUGAUCAGCUGUCGCAUGUACCAGUGGUUAACAGACUAGAUCUUGUGUCUCAACGGUUAGUAUACAGACAACGAGAGAGUCUCGAUCGAUGAUCUAGUAAGACGUCGACCGAUACACCUUUGUCAACAUCGAUCGAUUGUCAGUUGAGGACAUCGAUCGACGGGUUCUAGCCAGGCCUAUGCGCGAGUAUGAAAUGCCCUACUAAGAUUCUAAAUUGGCGGUUAGCGCUCUCUAGCAAUCCUAAUAUGAUAGAUAGAUGUCAGGAUGGGAUAACAAGGGUGCUUGAAUAUGCAAUCCUGUGAUCAAGUUCUAGUUAGCAAGGCUAAAACAAGCAAUGAAUACAAAUCUAUCAUGAAUAUCACAACAAGGCAGAUCUAUAGUUUGGGGCUAAUCCCACAAACCUAUCUUAACCCUGGAUCUAACAGUUGAACUACUCAGACAUAGCAAAGCAAUUCAUCACAAUAAAAGAAUAGAAACUCAUAGUAUAGAUGAAAAGAAAUAGAAACAAGGAGUUCCAAUCACAAGUGAUCUUCUCUCCCAAAUGAAACCUGUAACAAAACUAGGUCUAGAAAAAUCUUUGUUCUUUUUGCCGUCAAAACACUUAUGCAGUAUAUAUUCUACUAGGUUAAAAACUCGUCAGGGCAUUUUGGUAAUUUGGGUUGGCCUUGGUUUUAAGUCUGCUGAAUCCAAAAUGCCGCAUCUGGUGUCUCGACAUCGAUCGAUGGUACUUGUGUACAUCGAUCGAUAUUAAUCUUCAUCUGUCGAGGCAUUUCCUGAUAUUGAUCGUCAGCACUGAUGCGCAUCGAUCGAUUGUUCUUCCUCUCGUCAACCUCUAAAUGGUCAGUUCGGGUGAAAUGUCCUUUAAGCUCCAAAAUGCUCCAAAGUCAUAACUUUACUCCGAAAUGCACCUGAACCUGAAAACAUACCUAGAAGAGUAGAAAACAUAGAUAUAUAUAUAUAUAUAUAUAUAUAUAUAUAUAGUAAAACACCUAUAUACCAUAGAUAAAAAUGGGUCAAAUCCAAGGUAUAUCAAGGUGAUAAGGAGUCAUCUGUUCGAUGGGGCACAUGGUCGGAACAGAUGGUGGAGUAGUCGAUAUGCUGCAGGGAGCAUGGAGCUUCUGUAUGCUUUGAUGAGCAUGGAGUAUCCCUGUCGGUGUGCUGGAGAUCGUGGCAUGGGCCAGUAUGUAGCGUUGUAGACGUGCUGCAGGGAGCAUAUAUCUUCCCCUGGUCGAUAGUAACCGCCGGGAUCUGCCUCUCCUAGGCUUGUCCGAGAAGAAGAUCUUCUAUGUGUAGAAUCUUGCCUUGGCGGCUGUAGAAUUGGUGAGUUCUGGUUAUGGACGUCUCCCCCUCAUAGAUUGACGUGUUUUCCUCAUAGAUGGACGUGUUCCCAUGAAUGGAGAACUUCAUCUUGUUGGUAUUAAUCGCAGGGAUUCAUCGGUUAUAAGCAUGUUGAUGACGAUGGCCUUCUAGGUCUCGAAUCUUGCCUUGGCGGCUAUGGAGAUGAUGAGCUCGUGUCUCUCUCUCUGUGUUAUAGACCUCCUCUUUAGAUUUAGAAACCUCUCUUUAUAGUGGAGGUCGUGCCUCCUCUUUAGGGUUUGAAAAUAUUCCAUAUAUCCUUAGAUAAUAGAAUAUUUCCACUCUUCUUUAAGGGCAGUAUACAUUGGAAUACUUCCUCUUUCUCUUGGAUUUAGGAAGAUCCCUUCUUCUCUAAGCUGAUUACCUGACAAAUGGAAGAUUUUCAUUUAUCUUAAGGCUGGAGAAAUCACUUGGCCUGGAAGACGGAGGAAGGUCCCAGACUCGGGGACAGGGACCCGGGACCCAAAUGCAGGAACCCGGACCCUGGGGGCAGAGACCUAGAAGACGGAAGCUGUAGUAAUCUCUUCAUGGAAUAUUUUUCCCCAACAACGAGUAAUUGCGGUUUUAAAUCGUAAAGUUCCAUCGGUGACUCUGAUCGAAAUGAAACAAGAGCAUGUUCGAUCCAAUCCCGAAGGAGGGAGCUACGAGGACAGGACUAUGACAGCACGAUCGUUCCAACUCGGCGGAUGGCCGAACUGGUCGCGUGUUGAUCCAGUUCGGCCAUCCGCCGAGCUGGACUGGGCGGAUGGCCAAGCUGGUUGUGUUGUCGAUCCAGCUCGGCGGAUGGCCGAGCUGGUCGCGUGUUCGAUCCAGCUCGGCCAUCCGCAGAGCUUGACUGGUUCAGCUUGGCGGAUGGACGAGCUGUUCCUGUUGUCGAUCCAGCUCGGCCAUCCGCCGAGCUGGACUGGUUCACCUCGGCAGAUGGCUGAGCUGGACUGGUUCACCUCGGCGGAUGGCCGAGCUGGUCGCGUGGUCGAUCCAGCUUGGCCAUCCACCGAGCUGGACGGUGUGCUCUGUCCACCCUUCAAUAAAACAGACAUAACUUAUGAUACAGAAUGCUGAUUAACCUCAGACCGGUGGCAUUCGAAAGCUAACUCAAAGCUCAAUCAUACCACGGGAAGGUCUUCAUCCAUAGCUAAACAUCGGACUUGUUUGUGCAGUUCUGCACCUCAAAACGUACGAACAAACGAGUUGGACUGCUUGUUUGGUUCCGUGAUCCAUUUCUCUCGAGUUUUUUGCUGAGGAAAUUUUGUCGAGAGUGUGUCGAGAAAGCUUUCAUACAGAAACACAGGUUUUGGACGUUUAUUUCGAGAUUACCGUUUUUGAUCCCAACAAUGUUUGCUUCUUAUUAUGGAUAAAAAUUAUACGGAAUUUAUAUUGCGAGAAAUAUUUUAUGGGGACUUUUCACUACAAGAAAACAAGACCUUAACGACUACAAUAUUAGUAGCUAGUUGGUCGUAAUAUGGGCUUUAGGACCAAUUAACUUCGAAAAUCGAUUGGUCGUUAUAAGAUGAUCUUAAUUAAUAAUUAGAGGCACAUUGGUCAUAAUAUUGCGUCUAAAAAAAUUAGUCAUAUAUCAGACGUAGCUUUACGGCUCAAUAAGUUGGUCGUAAGUUAAAAGUAAAUACAUUUGUCGUAAAGGUGACGUACAUUUACGUCUCAUAUAUUAGUCGUACACUGGUCAUAACCUUAUGACCAAUUUACCUUUAAUGUCGAUGUUUAUUAGUCGUAAGCUAACGGAUAUCACUCAAAUUACCCUAAGGAGUGAAUUACUCUCUCAAAUAAGCGGUUCAGAUGUAGUACUUAGGGAUCGAAUCCAUAGAGAUUCUAGGAUUACACAAUAGAUUAUGGUCUUGAAAUAAAUCUAGAUUAAAUGGUUUAUAAGUUUUAAAGCAGUAAAUGGAGUGGUGAGCAAUUUUAUUGCUCGAUUGAUUUGUUUUGGGGUUGUUAACAGUUUGGAGAAAUAGCUAGAUUCAGGUAUAUUCCCAGGUAUGAUAAGUAAACUUAAUUUGGGUUUGUAGAGGUUUAUUGAUAUUAAUUAUUCUUGAAUUUAAACUUAAGAUAUAAUCAAUUUGAUUAUCUAAUCUGGAUCUCGGAUUUCAACUCUUGUAUGUUAAUCACGAGAAAUUGUCGAUCGAUAAUUCUUUAUGAAUAUCGAUCGAUACACCUUUCAAAAUAUCGAUCGACAGGGCUAUCGAUGUGUCGAUCGAUACUUCUUCCAGAAAGUUUUACGUACAGGUUUAAUUUAUAUUUUCAAACUCACUAGAUCAACUCCCGUCUGUAUCUAGUCAGUUAGAUCAUACUAGUUAAUUUUCAGGUAUUGAGUCAAGCAAUGGCUUGAUCCCAAUUAAUCCUAAGAUCUAGGUUUAAAGGGUGAUUGAUAUACCUUGGAUUUGACCCGUUUUCAUCCAUGGUAUAUAGGUGUUUUACUAUAUAUAUAUAUAUAUAUAUAUAUAUAUAUCUAUGUUUUCUACUCUUCUAGGUAUGUUUUCAGGUUCAUGUGCAUUCGGAGUAAAGCUAUGACUUUGGAGCAUUUUGGAGCUUAAAAGACAUUUCACCCGAGCUGGCCAUGUAGAGGUCGACGAGAGGAAGAAUAAUCGAUCGAUGCACAUCCAGUGCUGUCGAUCGACACCAUGAGAUGCCUCGACUAAUGAAGAUUAAUAUCGAUCGAUGUACACAAGUACCAUCGAUCGAUGUCGAGACAUUGGACAUGCAACAUUUUGGAUCCAGCGGACUUGACGCCCAAGUCCAAGCCAAAUUACGAAAAUGCCCUGACGAGUUUUUAACCUAGUAGAUUAUAUACUGCCUAAGUGUUUUGACGGCAGGGAGAGCUUUUUGUUACAGUUUUACUUUGAGAGAGAGAGAGAGAGAGAGAGAGAGAGAGAGAGAGAGAGAGAGAGAGAGAGAGAGAGAGAGAGAGAGAGAGAGAGAGAGAGAGAGAGAGAGUUUUGGAGAGAAGAUCACUUGUGAUUGGAACUGCUUGUUUUCAUUUCUUUUCAUCUAUACUAUGAAUUCCCAUUUCGUCAUUGUUAUGAAUUGCUUUGCUAUGUCUGAGUAGUUCAUUUAUUAGAUCCAGGGUUCAGAUAGGUUUGUGGGAUUAGCCCCAAACUAUAGAUCUGCCUUGUUGUGAUAUUCAUGAUAGAUUUGUAUUCAUUGCUUGUUUUAGCCUUGCUAACUAGAACAUGAUUAUAGGAUUGCAUACUCAUGCACCCUUGUUAUCCCAUCCUGCCAUCUAUCUAUCAUAUUAGGACUGCUAGAGAGGGCUAACCGCCAAUUUAGUAUCUUAAUAGGGCAUAUCAUACUCGCGCAUAGGCCUGGCUAGAACCCGUCGAUCGAUCUCCUCAACUGACUAUCGGUCGACUUAGGCAAAGGUGUAUCGGUCGAUGUUCCAAUAGGACCGUCGAUCGACACUCUUUCGUUGUCAAUAUACUAACCGUUGAGACACGAGAUCUAGCCUGUUAACCAGUGAAACAUGCGACAGCUGAUCACUGAGUUAAGUGGUUGAGCUCUAAUAUAUCAUGCAUGCAACAAAUAGGCAUCUAUAGAUAUUAUAAUCUCCAACACCUGAAUAGUGGUCCUGCAUCUAAUAUCAUUUCCAACCAAGUUACAUUUACUAUUUGCUUCGCUUGUUACUAUUGCUAUUUCAUUUAAACAUUUACAACUCUUAGAAUUAAUAAACACUAGAUUUAAUUGUUCCCUAGCUCAUUUUGGAUUCGAUCCCUAAGUACUACAUCUGAACCUCUUUUGAUGAGAGUAACACUCCUUAGGGUAAUUUGAGUGGUAUCAAAUUUGGAGCCGUUGCCGGGGAGCUUUGAUCGCCAUUAGAUUUAGUUUUAUUGAUUCUUAUUCUCUUCUCUACCCCCCUUUCUAACAUAAUCUUUUUCUUGUCUUUUCAGGUGCAUGCCCAGCGGUACCAGAAGCAACAAGGAGAAAGACUUGCUGUUUUCAGACGAUCCUGCUCACUUGGAACGCACCAUCCGUAGAGGUCAACGUUACACAUCGCUCGACGCAACAACUUUGUCAUCAAUCUAUACUCACAACCAACCGUCGACCGACACCAGACAUUCAUCGUCGAUCGAUCCUAAUCGUUCGACAACGAUCGAUACUACGCCGCGUACGUCGAUCGAUACCGUGUCGUAAAAAAUGGUAAACAUUAUUAUCCUAACACAGGAUGAGAACGGAAACAUGUAUGACCAGGACGGUCAUCUGCGUAAUGCAACAGGUCAGAAAAUAGACGCUCAGGGGACUGUAAUCCCUGAUGCUGAUAGUACAGUCUCAACCUGUAGACGAGGACCCUCGAUCGAAACCACUGGCCGACCACAAUCGCCCAUAUGAGUACUAUUCCAAUAGAUCAGCUUUUCGACUUCCGGAGAUCUAGAAGCAGAAUUUCGAGCUGAAGCCUCAAUACUACACUCUCGUGUCGCAGAUACCCUACUCUGGGUUACCGCUCAAGCAUCCUAUGGACCAUCUAGAACGGUUCGAGGAUUUAAUCGCUGCUAUUUGGAUGGAAGGAGUCCCCGAAGUUUACCUGAUGUGCAAGCUCUUCAGAUACACGCUGAAUGGAGAAGCGAUGCACUGGCUUAGGCAGCCACCCACGGGAUCCUUAACAUCCUGGGCCGACAUCAAGAAUGCUUCCUUAUGAAACUUCUUCGAUGAGUUGUGCGCUGAAGAACUUCGAAACAAAAUUUCCACGUUCUCGUAGGAGGCUGGAGAGUCCUUCAAAGAUGCGUGGAUUAGAUUUAGGUUCUUCCAACGAGACUGUCCACACCACGGAUUUAACGAAGUGCAGCUGCUAAGCACUUUCUUCCGAGGUCUCGCCUUACAGUAUCAAAUGGCCCUUGAUACGGCGAGUGAAGGAAACUUCACUACUCGGAAUCCGUUGGAAGCUGUGAGACUUAUCGAAAACCUUGCUAACAGCAGCAGCACCAAAAACACUGACUCUGAACGGAAGAAGUCUGUAGCCUCUAUCGGGAAGGAACAGAUGGACGAAGUAAGAGCUAAGUUAGAUGUGGUGCACGAGCUUCUUAGGAAGCAAGUCUGUUCAGCUGAAGGAGAAGUAGCAGAUACGGAAGGAGAAGAAAAUGUGAACUACAUCGGAAGUACCAGAUUCCAGAAAUUUGGAAACCAGGGCGGAAACAGAAGCUUCUUUGGUCAAAGAAGUAACCAGAGUUCGCAAUUUCAAAAACCUUUCAACAACAACAAAAGCUACUCGAACUCCUACUACCAGAUCGAAGAAAUGCUUGAUCGAGUACUGUUGGGACAACAACAAAUCACUGUGGAUUUCAACGGUAAAAUAGACUCCGCCUACAACAAUCUGAACACCACAAUCGAGACCUUAGGGACUCAGGUGAGAAAACUUGAAACGCAAGUGAUUCAGACUGGCGAGACUAUAAAGAGGCAAGAAGCUUUCGCUAGAGAGGCAGGAGCUGAUAAAGGAAAACACCACGUAAAUGCCAUCAUAGAUGAUGAUUUAUGGCAAGUGGUGAGACAUGAAAAGCUUGAGGAAGGAGACUUCGAAAUCGAAAGCUCCAUGAGUCUCGGCGGAUCCCAAUGGUGUCGACCGAUGUCGAUGAACUCGCAUCGAUCAACAGCCAUGACGAAGAUCGAUGGACGGAUUACUCCAGUCAUCGAUCGACGUCGUCCGCUAAAUCGACUGAAUGCAAUGCAGUUCGAAUUCUAACUCAUAAGGAAUUCGCAGCUAAGCAUCCUCACCCACCCUCCCCUUACUAUGAUAAGACCGAUCGAUCGGCCGAGCCAACAUCGAUCGACAGAGUUAGUCCGACGUCGAUCGUCACAACACACCUCCCAUCGAUCGACAGGCACCUCCGAAAUACCGAGUGCGGUUUUCCUCAAUCGAUAAUGACUAUAUCAACGCACUCAAACCACCACCGAAACAAUUAGCUAACCCACUCGAACCAAAACCCAACCCUUUAAAUAGUUCACCAGAACCAGUUCAAGAAGAUCAGGAAACUGAAGGGAGAAGGUUAAGGAAAAGAAAGGAGAAAAUUCCUAAGAACCUUAAGAGGGAAGCUAACGAUAAGGAGAUGGAUGGUUUCACUAAGAGAGUCCUCAGAAUCUCAAUCAAAAAAGCUUUUGAUGAAUCUUACUUCACAAACCGGUUGUGGAUGUUCUUCAGAGAAACAAAGGUAACUGAGGAGGACAUUAGAAGAAUGUUUCAUCAAGUCAGAGAGAAUAUGAAACACAGGAUCACGUUGACGAAGAAGAGUGAUCCUGGGAAGUUUGCAAUACCAUGCGUAGUCAAGGGUGUUGAAUUUCCCCAUUCUAUGUGCGACACAGGAGCAUCAGUUAGUAUCCUCCCUAGGAUCAUGGCAGAGCAGCUUGGUUUGACCAUCGAACCUUCAACAUAAUCCUUUACUUUCGUGGAUCUUUCAGAAAAACGAUCAGGAGGUAUCAUAAGAGAUCUGGAGGUACAGAUUGGUAAUGCCCUUGUCCCGGUAGAUUUUCAUGUCGUAGACAUCGAGCUUAACUGGAACUCUUCACUUCUGCUUGGAAGAUCUUUCCUAGCUACAGUAGGAGCUGUAUGUGACAUGAACAAAAACAAAUUGUGUCUGACGCUGAUAGACCCCAACAUUCACUACGACCCUAUCCAACCUAAAAGAAAGGUUAUUAAUUUUGUGGAUUACGGGAAAUAACUUGGCUUCAUUGGAGCAUGCCAUUGUGGAGCAGAGUACGAAUCAGAGUACUUGGAAUCGAUCGACACCCCCACUUUUCCAUCGAUCGAUUCCAAUGAGUCAACAGUGACUGAUGACCGCAACAACACGUCGCUCGACGUUGAUCAGCCGGUUGACCAUUUCGCUUCACCUAAUCAUUGUUACCCACACUUUGCUUUCCAACCUCCAAGCAAGAGAGGACGUGAUGAUUAUUCCAUAGGUAUUUGGGCAGACAGUGGUUUCCAUGAAAGUUUUGCAGUUGCACUGUAAUUGCUUCACCUAACGAGGAACACACAGAGGAAUACGAAGAGGAUUAUUGGACGGAACGUGCAAUAGAAAUGUCUUUGCAGGAUGAAAGAUUUGAAACGCAUAAGUUCACCAACACAUUCCCAACAACGCUCGACGAAGUGCACUCCACAUCGGUCGAUACCCACCGUCGUGCAGCAAAACAACCGCUCACAUCGAUCGACACCCAUAGAGGAACAUCGAUCGAUAUUCGCGCCGCAGCAAAAAAUCCAGGAACAGGAGAAUAUUCCCUCUCCAACUAGGCUUAUAGAUACCUAUUUGAAACAUUUUGCACCCCUGAAACCACUUCCACACACCAGGGAAGACACACAAGCAGAAAAGAUGAACACUCUUCCAUCUACAUCAACAGGAAAAUUCAUGAAGAGCAAUCAUCUCAAGAACACAAGUUCAGCAGAAACUAUUAUGCCCUCGAUCGAUACAUUUGUAUCAACAUCGAUCGAUACUACUCUUAAACCUAAUAUUUCUAUUUCUAAAUUUUAUGAUAAUGCAAACAUUGAUUACAGUUUUAUAACUCCUGACGAAUUUGGUAUUUUCAGGGACCCAGAUGGCAACGCACGUGCAAUAGAUGGAAGGAUCUUACAAGUGUCUAGAGAGGACAUAGUAGAUAUCCUUCAAGUGGCCAAUUGACCUGACAACCUAUUCUCACAGCAACGUGGCACUCCAGACGUCAUUCAAACCAAUCCUAACAAACACGUAGGAGUCGCCGUAACAAAAAUCAAUCCAGAUCUAUCAUGCCAACCAAAAGGCCACGCAUCGAUCGACGGGACAACUCAGACAUCGAUCGACAGGAUAACACCAACGUCGAUCGGUAAGGAUGACCCACAUUGAUCGACAGACGUUAUGAAUUUGGAUACCGCGCUUUUGACAUGUAUGGAGCCAGAAAGUUCACUUGGGAACGAAGGGACGAGUAUGGAGUCUACAGAGAAGAGUGUGGACACGCACGAGGCGUAGCUGGUGAGAUGAUACCUGUCACAAAGGACGACAUCAGGAAAUUACUGGAAAGAGCAUCUCUUUUUGAAGAGUGCCACAUUUGUCUUCCAGAACACGCCACUUCCUUCACGCUCACAAGACUGGCACCAGAACUCUACACCAAAGAUGAAAUCAACGAGAUGGUGACUGGUAUUUGUAGAGCUCAGGAAAAACUGGGAGAGGAACUCAAAUCAUUGGUAGAAGAUAUACAUCAACCUUUUGAUAGAGGCUACAAUGAGCUUUUCAGAAGUAUGGUAGAAAUGAGGACAUAAAUUGAGAGUUUACGUCAGCAACUUGAGAAGGAAGCAACGACCUCAGCAUCGAUCGACGCACCACAUGCACCAUCGAUCGAUGUCAGUCUUCCUACAGCCCAGAUCCCUGCAGAACCGUAAUGUUCAGUAGAACACAAGGAUGAAUGGGAAGUCUCAUACAUCAACACGAGGAUAAACGACGUGUACUACCCUCUCAACAACAACGUGGACUGGCUGAGCACUAAAAUCGAGCUACUACAGCAAGAUUUGGACACCAUUCGCAAGAAGGACCAACAACCAGCCACAUCGAUCGAUGUGUGUACCAUCACAUCGCUCGACGCUAAGAUCUCAGCCAUGGAUGAUAGGCUGCAGACUUACGAGGACAUGCAUGACCGCUUCGUAUCACCAGUUAUGCUAGAUUUAAACAAAUUGUCUAGUCAAAUACUUCAUUCCCAAAGGGAUAUUGAUAAAAUUACUAAUCAAAAUUUUUUGCAGGCAAACUCAUCUUCGAUCGACAGGGUACGUUUCCGGUACCGGGACGUCACCCAAACUCACGUCCCCGUGCAUCAUAGGUGACAACUGAGUCUAGACCUCCUGGAUCCGAGCCACAACAAUGUUUCAGAUCCUCUCUGCUUGAGGAUGCGAAAAGGUGCCAUCAGAAAGCUGGUGUGUCGUCCUGUAAACUCGGGCCAGAGAUGGUGGUGCUCCUUCUUGGGCAGCCUGUAUUAAAAAAAUUAUUUUAAUUAAACUCACGCAUUCAAUAAAUAUUUAAUUAAUACAUAUUUAAUAAAUAUUAAAAAUAUCAAAGACUUACAAUUUGUAGUGCCCUCCCAGCGUGUGGAAUCUGUUCGGAAGUAUGAGGUAUUGGCAGGUUACCAUCUUCAUCACGGGUCAACCGGGCCGUUGAGCAAGUGAGAGACCUUUGAAUUGACUUAGGCAAAUUCCAAUAAGCCUUCAAGCCCUUCCAAACGUCAUUGCUGAGGUUUGCUUCUUUUGCGUCAUCCCCCAGAACCCUCCACUUCUCCUUCCAAUCACCAACAAUGUUCUUUAGGCGAGCCAUCGCCUUUUUGUAGAACGCUUCCUUCAACGUUUCGUUGACAGCAAUGGACCAAUUCCAUUUUUGCUUCAAAAAAAAUUAAUUAAUUAAAUUAUUAUUUUCUAAAUUAAAAAUAAAUAAAAUUAUAUUUAAAACUAACCGCGAAGCACUUGAACCAAGUCCUCCGAACAUGAUCUGGUGUAAGAGACCAAUUCGGAUGCGCUUCCCGGAAGUUUGUCCUGAUGAUAUCUCCAACGCUCUGUCCCACACAAUUGUCCGUCAAAAACCUACAAAAUUUGAAAGAAUACAUAUAUUUAGACCAAUAUGUAUAAUUAUUUGAUUUAAAAUAUUAAAAAUUACCAGUAAGUGUUGGGUGGUCGAUCUUGAUUGAUGAUUGGUAAACCUUCUCGUCCCGGCAUCUGGAGAAGGUCUUCCACUGUAUAUCUUGCAUAUGGUGCAUCCGAUGGCACCAUCAAAUCUGGAUGAACAGCUGCAGGAGCCGGAGCAGCUUCGGGAGCAGUAAACUUCUGCUGAGGAUGGUGUGGAGAAUGAUGCUGAUCAUGCCGAGGCUGCUGUGGAGUUUCAUCGUACUGGGGAUAGAAUGGAGCAGGGUCAUCAAACUGCGGAUAGUAAGCUGCAGGGUCAUAUGCCUGUGGAGGCACAUACGGAGCAGUAGGAACUUGGCUCUCAGGGACAUUCUCUUAGCCAGAUGAUGUGCCGGAGGAAGAAGCUGAUGGAUCCACCUGUCCGAGAAAGGUAUUCGCGUAAGAGUUUCUAGGCGUAAGAUUCCUAAGUCUCUGUCUACCGCUAGCCAUUGCAAUAUAUAUCGCCAAUCUGACCCCAAAAAAAUUGACGUUUAGAAACAAUUCAAAUUUUUUAUAUAAAAAUAAUCUAAACCUAUUCUAAUUCCAUCAUAAUCUAUCUCCAUCCUAAUCUACAUCCAUCCUAAACUAAUUCCAAACCUAAUCUAAUCACCUAACUAACCACCUAAAACUAAAACAAAAUAAAAAUAAAAAAUUACCUAGAGAGAGAAGGGAAAUCGUUGUUAGAGAGAAGGGAAUGAGCAACCAAAUGGCUUCGCGAGGUCCGCGUAUAUAUAGAGUUUUGGUGUUAGUCGUAAAUGGGUUGUAAUAUUACGACCAAUGAGCGACUACGGGUCGUAUAGGAGGUGUAAAUUUACAACCAAUGGGAGACCAAAUAGUGUUACGACCAAUAAGGGACUAAAUUAUUGUUUUUAUUUACGACCAAUGAGAGACUAGCAGUCGUUAAAGAAACGUAAAUUUAUGACCAAUGUGGGAUGAAGUCCUUUACUACCAAUUAGGGACUACCGUUGUUAUAUUUGAAAAAAAGAGAACAAAGAUACUAGAAUCACAGGUGAGAAAAAAUUUCUGAUGCCUACAAUUGUACAAGCCAAUGUAAGAUACUUUUAUAACUUUUUUUUUCUAUCAAGAAGUAAUAAUAACUUUAUUUCUUACAUGCAAGUGCCUCAUGAACAUUUUUUGGAAGUAACUCUGCAAAUGCAAAUGGUAGAAGUUGUUGCAUAAACACAUGACAGUCAUGACUCUUCAUCUCUGAAAACUUAUGUCCCUGCUGAUCAACACAUCUUGAUAGAGUUAAAACAUAUCCAUCAGAAAACUUCACAUCUGAUGCCACCCACUUGAACAACGCUCCUUUUUCUUCUGCUGACAAUCUGAAAAUGGGAACUGGAAUUUUCCCAUUGUUUUUAAUAUGCAGCUCAAUCCUAGAACAUAAUACAGGCAAAUCCAACCACGAGUUCUUGUUAUCUUUUGUCUUCCCGGGGACGUUCAACAAUGUAUUGAUGAUGUUGUCAAAGAAGUUCUUCUCUACAUGCAUCACAUCAAGAUUGUGGCAUAGAAGUAGAUACUUCCAAUAUGGAAGUUCCUAAAAUAUACUCUUUUUAUGCCAAUUAUGCUGUGUCCCGUAACCAACAGACAUAUUUGCAAUAGUAUGCCAAUUACCCCCUUUCUUGAUUGUGUCUUGUCCACCAUAGUAAUCAAUCUCCUUCUUGAUUUCCUCUCCAGAUAAAUAUGGUGGAGUGGUGUCUUGUACAACCCUUUUUGACCGAAACAAUUUUCUGUUCCUUCGGUACGGAUGGUUAAUGGGAAGAAAUCUCCGAUGACAAUCAAACCAGGACGUCUUCCUACCAUUCUUCAGCUGAAAUGCGUCUGUGCUUUCCAUACACUAAGGACAAGAUAGCCUCCUCCAACCUGACAACAUCCCGUAUGCAAGAAAGUCACUAAUGGUCCACAAAAGAACUGCUCGCAUUGUAAAGUUUGUUCUCGUUGAACAAUCAUAUGUCUGCACGCCUGUUGACCAUAAUUCCUUCAAUUCUUCUAUCAAAGGCUGUAGAAAAACAUCAAGGGACCUCUUCGGAUGCUUUGGCCCAUGUAUCAAUAUACUCAUGAAAAGCAAUUCCUUUUCCAUACACAUCUCUGGUGGAAGGUUAUGUGGCGUCAAGAAGACUGGCGAAAGCGAGUAUUGUCUGCUCCCGUCAUUUCAGAUUGAUAUAAUCUCUUCAGUCUAUCCUUAAUAGGUAAGUACCACUCUAACAAUUCUGCAUUUUCUCCCCAGUAUAUCAUACAGUUGUCUAUACACACAACAAUCAUCUCCGAAGGUAAGCCAAGGCUAUUAACCAAUUUCAGAAUCUCAUAAUAAGAUUCAGCACACAGAUUAUCUUCAUGCAAAUAUUCUUUAAACAACUGAACCCAUGCAUCCGUACAAACUUCAGGAAAAUUAUGAUCAGUUUUGAUAUUCAUCAUCCUAGCUGCCAAUGAUAAUUUAGAAAUACCUUCUCUACAACCUUCCUAAAUUGGCUAAUUAGCUGCUGCUAGCAUUUCAUAAAAUCUUUUUGCAUCCAAGUUAGGCCCCUCUACAUUUUCUACCUCCUCUAUUACUGAUCUUGUUUCACGAAAUGCAUCUGUAACCAUAUCAUGAAUCCUAUCAUGAUCUACCAUAUGAUCCUCUUGAAGGUUAUAACUUUCAAAAGGAAAAUGUGGUUCAUCUGAUCUGUUACGAACAUUUUCAACCUGAUUACUACUACUAGCUUCAUUCCUAUUAUCACCUUCUCCGUGGUUAAACUAGAUAUAGUAAUAUGGAGUAAAUCCUCUAUUUACUAUAUGUUUCCAAACAGUUUCACUAGCAGCAAACUUGGUAUUGUUUCACUAGCAGAUUCCUCCUGCUCAAACAGCAGCAUCUCAAUAUUCUAGCCGAGAUGGCGGUGAGAGCAUCAACGAUGACGCACUGGAAAUCUCCUUCAGGACGUGUAGACAUGCUGGCAUAGGCGAGAAUGGUGGAAGUGCUGGCCCUGUCUGCUCCUUCUGAUGUCCUCUAGCUCGCUGUACGGUGUAGUGGCACGGCAUGGUUGAUUGGCCAUGGAGGAGGGGCUAAUCGGGGUGAAACUGGAUGCUAGCGAGACCCCCUGAGAAGUCCUUGACCGAACGGCUGGGUAGAUCUAUCAAGUGUGUGCCAUCCGCGUCUUUGAAAGUCCAGAAGUGGUCGUCCUUGAGCCAGUGUGCGCUCCUGAGGUGUGCUGCGUCCAUUUAGACGAGCUGAUCAUCCAUUGCAGCCCCGUCUAAUGGUAUCCUGCAGUGCAUGACGAUCAGUGUAAGCAGACUCUCAACCGUCUUCUUCUUCGUUCCCGAUGUCUCGAACGGCUUCAUCUUGAGAUUGAUUAGGUGCUCGGCAAAGAGGGCUCCCAGGUUAGGCAACGUGUCGUCAUUGUUGGGGUUGAAAACGGUUACAACGAAGUUAAUGUCCAAACCUCUGCAAAAACAAGUGUGAGUGUCUUUCUGCGACAAUUAUGCUUGGUAAAAAAUGUCACGACACAGGAUCUCGAGAUAAAACCUUGUUCGAGUCUCGGUUGGAUCAAACAAAAACUGACCCAAGGUAACAGAAACGUAUUUAAACCAGCCACAGAUAGGUUCGAGUGUGACGAACGGAAAAUGGACAAGCCAAGCCCUAUCACUACGGAACGACCGAACAUGCGCACUACAGGGCCGCUACGUAGCCACCGAGCUCGAGCCAAGCUCGGUCACUACGUAGCGAACGAGCGCACGUCCCGCUCGGUCGUUAUGUAUCGACCGUGCGCACAUCCCGCUCGGUCGUUACGUAGCGACCGAGCGCACGCCCCGCUCGGUCGCUACGUAGCAACCGAUCGCACGUCCCGCUGGGUCGCUACGUAGCGACCCAGAUUUCUCGAAAUGUCAAAUACGACAUGAAUCCAUGCAUUCUCGUCUACUCUUUGAUGCUAUAUCCCGAAGACCGUAGCAAAACCAUUUCAUGUUUCUCGACAUUUGAAGUCAUCAAUCUAACUUUACGAUAAAAACCGUGGAAAUUUUGUUUUUAUCGAAAGAAGCCGUAAUAAACGCUUCGAGCCAAAAGACGGGCCAGAGGGACCUAAGACAUGACUCGAAGCCCAAUUUACGAUUUCUUAACCAAAAACCCGUAAACCGUAGGACGGUUUACGCUUGGUUCGCAAGGAAAGAUAAAUGUCAAGUUUCCCCGGAUAAAUACGAAGUUUUGGAAGAUAAUUACGAAAUGGAGUAUCUCUAUUUUUUGGCUAUGACGGCUUAAGGGCAGAAGGGGAAAAACGUAAAACCGACCUAGGAGCGAGUAUAUAAAGAGUCCUCGGCGAAAGGCAUGAGGAGGACCUUUUUCAGAGAAAACUUAGCACUUAGAGCAAUGAGACAACUUUCUGUUUUUGUUAUUUCGAGCUGCGACUUAAUUAGGUUUAGCCGUCUUAGGGUUGUUAGAACAAGGAAUCUCGCCGACAGCCCUCGAGCCCAGGCUUAUUACCUUGUUGUAAACGCUCAUACGCAAAUUCGGAAUAAGACUUCUCUUUGCUCUCUUUUUACGAUUCCAUAUACUUUAUCGUUGUUAUCUCGUGUUCUGAUUGCUUGGCGUUUGGUAUUAGCAGAUAUCCGGGACCUCUAGGAAAUCAGGAUUUUCCUAGUUUCCUAAUUUAAACGGAAAUCGACAGUGUGAAUGUCGGUUCUCACAGUUUGGCACUAGAAGGAGGGGGGGUACGGAUCAAUCUAACCCUCAACCACAUCACGCUCACCCAGACAUGUCAACAGACGACGCGGACAACAUUGAAACUCCUCUCAACGGAGGAAGCGGCACUGACUCCACACUCCAGCAGCGGACAUAUCCGCAGCCAACGCACCAGCCAACGCCGCGACGCUCGAGGAGUUUAAAAAGAUGUUCACCACCUAUGAAAAAAGGUCGGAAGAACAGGAUAAGCUCGUAAACACCUUGACCAAACAGGUCGAAACCUUAACGGCAAGGACUCGAGCAAUCCGUCCCCAUGGAACCACGAAUGUUUGCGGGAAAAGACUCGACUUUGCAACCCCACUCGACAGGCCUGGAACGACGCGGGAAAGACCCUCGGGCCAAAACCCUAGCGAAAAAUCCCCAGCCGAGAAAAGGAACUCUGAGAGUCCUCCCCCUCCCGUGAAGGACUCGAAGGUUAAUGAAGUUGAGCACGUCGACUUGGAUCCCAUUGACGUCUCCAAUGAUACUGAGGAGGACGCCGACAAACAUCCAAGAAGGACCAGAAGCUGAUUUGCUCGGGAAAGCUCUCCGUUCGAUAAGCCAAUGACGAAAGAGGAGGAAAUCCUCUAUUGGAACGAACAAGAAGAGCUGGCUGAAAAGCAAACCAAGAUCACUCGCAGUAAACGCCGACAAGCUCGGAAAUCUGCUGACGAGACGUUGGACAUCCACGAUCUUCGCGAUUACAUCACCAAAACUGCGGCGGAAGUAAGGGCCGUGAAAUCCCAGAUCCAUCACGCUACCAGUGCUGCCCCCGAGAUGAACAGACUGCCGGAAGGGGUUCGGAAGACGCCCUUCACCACUUGCAUCACCAAAGUUUGAUGGUACGACGGAUCCUAAAGCGCACCUUCAGGCUUUCCACAUUGUUGGGGAAAAAUAUCCCUGUAUUAUUUCCCCAAGCCUCCAGGCAGGACUCAGAUCCCCGGAUCCCUGGUAAAUGGGUUCCCCGGGUCCCCACCAGAGGGAACCCUGGGCUCGAUCCCUGGACCGUACUCCCUUCCAAGAAAUGGAAAACUUCCGACAAGGAGAACCUUCCAUAUUUCCGAAUAUGGAAGAGUUUAACCUAAUGAAACCGACUUCUAGAUGACUAUAUAAGAGCGACAACAGCCCUCAAGCAAGGGAUCGACUUCUCCAAGGCUUAGAGACUAGGGUUCGACGGCUAGAAUUAGGGUUCUUAUAAAACAUCUUGUAACGAUACCUUGUUCUUGCCUAUUCAUCUAAUAAUACGUCUCUCAAGCCUAUUCUAUUAUUAUCUCUUUAAACAUCCUAAAACCCUUACUAAAUAACCACAAACACUCGAGGUUUACCAGCUUAUCCAUCGUUCUGUGGUACUCUAAAAGAGCCUACACAAAAAUCCCCUAACAGUUUGGCACAAGAAGGAGGGGAGUAAUCUAAGCUACGUGACGAUGGCGGUGGAUGAGCAAGACAAUACAUCAGAAUUUACCCCAAGAGAAGCCAAGCUUCAACGACAGAUCGAUGGACUGCAGAGCCAAGUAACCGACAUGCACAAGGCUCGGGAAACAACCGAAAAUCCAGAGCUUUCCUCCAAGGUUCAGAGCCUGAAGGAAAAAAUUGGUGAACACUCCUAACAGCUGGAGUUAAGCACCGAGAAACUCAACCAACUACAGACGGAGAACGCUGCACUCCGAGACAAGAACAAAGCUCCCAACACGGCGAGCAACAAGAUGCGUCGCUUCAACACUCGAGUUUGACCUAUGGGAAGCCUGAGCACUCCCAACACCGGAGAUAACGCGGCUCCUGCAUCCGGAGCGGCCGGGGCAACACGAAAAGGGAUCGAGGAUCACCAGAUCCACGACCUAGAGGAAAGUGAUUCCGAACCUGAACCCGAGAAAGAAGAACCCGAGAAGACGGCAGCCGAGUCUUCCAUAACCGCCUAUCUGGAGCAGAUGUUUUCCAAGAGGUUCGACGCCAUGCAAUCCAUGGUGGAACGUCUACCAGGAGUAGCUCCCCCAAUCCGGAGGAGCAACCCCGACUCGUACACAGAUACUCACUUCGCAGAGGAGAUCGCCUCAAUCGAGUGCCUCGGAAAUUCUCCUUCCCCAGCAUCAAGAUGUGCGAUGGCACCAAAGACCCCGACGAUCAUAUUGCACAAUAUAAACAGAGGAUGCUAGCGGUUGCGCUCCCCAAGGAGUCCCGUGAAGCAACCAUGUGUAAAGGGUUCGGAUCCACUCUAAUUACACCCGCCUUGCAAUGGUAUAUCAAUCUCCCUACCAGGUCUAUCUCUUCGUUUGUCGGCCUGAGCGACAAGUUCGUAGAACAAUUCGCGAGUAGCAGGAGCCUGGAGAAAACUUCAGACAGUCUCUACGAGAUCCUCUCGCAUCGAGUAGAACCCCUGCGGGACUACAUAGCCCGUUUCAAUCAAGAUAAGGUAGCUGUCCCUGAAUGCAGCAUCCCUACCGCAAUCUCUGCCUUCAAGAGAGGCCUACUUCCAUACGGAGGGAUCUACAAAGAGCUAACCAUGUACCCUUGCAAAACCAUGGAGGAUGUGCUAUCCUGAACGUGGGCACAUGUGAAGUGGGAAGAGGACAUUGCUAGCCGUGCCAAGGCUCAACCCAAACAGGAUCAGAGGUCCACCUAAUCAGACCGGGGAGACCGAGAAGAAAGAUCCUCCCAAAAGGGAUCCAAGGACUCUGAAAGCAGGAACCGGGGCAGGUUCCAAUACCGACCAUUAGAAAAAGAAGCGGGGAUGUCUGUGUCUACCUGGCCAGAUAUCACCCAUCUCUCGACAUCCACACCAGAGCUGGUCAACACGCUGGGGCAAAUAGGCCAACAGGUCAAGUGGCCCCCAAAGAUGAAAGCACCUGACUCAUUCUGGAACCCGAGACUCUCGUGCGACUUCCAUCGCGAUCACGGCCACAAAACUGAAGACUGCAUCGCCCUGAAGAUCGACGUCAACGAACUGCUCCAAAAGGGGCAUCUCCGAGAAUUCCUUUCAGAGAAUGCCAAGGCUCAUCUUAGCAAAGAAGCAUCAGGGAAAUCCAAAGGAGACGCACCAAGCUCACCACCUCGCCAGGACCGGGUGAUUCAUGUCAUCUCAGGAGGCUCUGAAGUAAGUGGCGUGAGUCAUGCAGCUGCGAAGAAUAGCACCCGUAAUGCUAAACACGGCCUGGAGACUGCUCAACCUAAAUGCCUACUUCUAGGUACUGACGAGAUAAGCUUCACAGCCAAGGAGCAAGAGAAGAUAUUAGCUCCCCACCAUGACGCUCUAGUUGUCUCCCUCACCAUAGCGAACUGUUUGGUGAAAAGAAUACUAGUAGACAACGGGUCCUCCAGCAAUAUCAUCUUCCUGACGGCGUACCAGGACCUAGGGUUAGAGGAGAAUACCCUGACGCGCAAAAAGUAAGUCCACUCAUCGGGUUCAGCGGCGAGCUCAAGCAAACCGCUGGGGAGGUUGUUCUGCCAGUAUAUGCUGAAGGGAUCAACAUAUCUACCAAAUUCCUGGUCGUGGACUGCCAAUCGGCCUACAACAUGAUCUUAGGAUGACCAUGGAUUCACGACAUGGGAGCAGUCCCCUCAACCCUCCAUCAAAUAGUGAAGUUCCCUACACCCUGGGGCAUAAAAGCAAUCCGAGGAGAUCAGGAGAAUUCUAGGUCCUGCUACCAGACCACCUUAAAAGGGAAGACCAAGGUCUUAUAGCAAUUACAGAGGAGACCUCAGAUCCCGCGGAAUCGGUAAUCUGGGGUCAACAAUAGGGGUAAUUCAGGAACCCUCUGCAUAGUCUGGACCCUACAUCCAAAGAGUUUCCAGAGAGCUUACGUCGACCGCUUCCCAUGGUCUCCCCUAAGAACCUGCAAGGCUGCACCUACUCGCAAAAUCUGGUCCCCACAGGACCCUCGUCCUCCGCCUCACAUAGAUAAGAUAGCCAGAAGCUUCAACAGUUAUCAACCGGUGAUCUCACAGAUAAACGAGUGGGGCACGAACACCUCGAAAAAACCCCCUCGGAAGAGAGCUCCCAGCUGGCACCAGAGAGAGAUAGGAGAGUGAUAUCACUCAAAUUACCUUAAAGAGUGUUACUCUCAUCAAAAGAGGUCGAAUUAUAGUACUUAGGGAUCGAAUCCACAAGGAGCUAGGAAACCGAUUAGAUCUAAUAGUUAUAUGAUUAAGCUAGGCUAAUAGGUUUUAAAGCAGUAAAUAAAACAAGUAAUAAAUAAAGCAAUAAACAAGAUGAACAAGGUAAUUGUUCAGCUUGGCAAGGAGUAGUUUGAUGGAGGGAUGGUUGAUAAAUCUAGGGUUUAUAUUAAGGUGUUGGAGAUUAUAAUUCCUAUAGGUACCUAUUUGUUGCAUGCAAGAUAUGUUAGAGCUCAACCGCUUAAUUCAGUGAUAAGCUGUCGCAUAUUUCACUGGUUAACAAGCUAGAUCUCGUGUCUCAACGGUUAGUAUGUUGACAUGAAAGAGUGUCGAUCUAUGGUCCUAUUGGGACAUCGACCGAUACACCUUUGCCUACGUCGACCGAUAGUCAGUUGAGGACAUCGAUCGACGGGUUCUAGCCAGGCCUAUGCGCGAGUAUGAUAUGCCCUACUAAGAUACUAAAUUGGCGGUUAGCCCUCUCUAGCAGUCCUAAUAUGAUAGAUAGAUGUCAGGAUGGGAUAACAAGGGUGCUUGAGUAUGCAAUCCUAUGAUCAAGUUCUAGUUAAUUACUCUAAAACAAGCAAUGAAUCCAAAUCUAUCAUGAAUAUCACAACAAGGCAGAUCUAUAGUUUGGGGCUAAUCCCACAAACCUAUCUGAACCCUGGAUCUAACAGGUGGAUCUAUUCAGACAUGAAGUUUGUUACAGAAAUCAUAGAUGAAAUAGAUGUAAAACUGAAAUAGAAAUGAUUAAGAAAACCAAUGGAGUUCCAGGACGACUCUGAUAGGAGUUCCUCCCUUCUCUCCUAAGAGAAAAAAUGGAAAUGAAAGCGUGUAGAAAGCAUAGCCGUCAACAAUGGCUUAGAAAUAACAUAAAUAGGGUUUCUGGUCGUCCAAAGGCAUUCUGGUAAUUUGUGGUUACUUCUAGGCUUCACGCAGUCAUAAAAUAUACAAGGCCCACGAUCUGGGAUCUCCAUCGAUCGACGUGCAGAGUGCUGCAUCGAUCGAAGCGGCUUCCUCUUCUCGGUAGCUUCCUCUCGCGAGGCAGACUGACCACGCUUCAGUAAAACAGGCAUAACUUCUGCUACAGGAUGCUGAUUGACCUGAGACCGGGGGCAUUGGAACGUUAACUCAAAGCUCUAUUUUGUGUCAAAUUAUGGGCUCAAUCUAACGGGCGGAAGGUCUCCAUCCAUAGCUAAACAUCUGACGCGUCUAUGCAACUCUGCACCUCCAAAGGCUCCAAAAGACUCCAAAAUCACCAUAUUUCUCCUAAACGUCCCUGAACCUGUAAAUACUCUAAAUAGACUCCAAAACAUAAUAAUUGUAUCUUAAAACACUUUAAAAUACUUAUAGACCAUGAUUAAAAAUGGGUAAAAUAUAUGGUCUAUCAACUCCCCCAGACUUACCCUUUUCCUUGUCCUCAAGCAAAACAGACAGGCAGUCUCUCUGAAAGAAGUUUUGAAAACAGUAGGGACUCACAUGAUUUAAAACUUAGAAUCAUCACCUCUACAAUAUUGCAAUCCACAUCUAAGAAUUCCUAAUCACAGAAGCACAUUAUACAAUAUCCUCGCUUAGCAACCAAAUUCACCUAGCCAACAUCUUAGAAAAUCAUGUCUGACAUUCCCCUCUACCAACCUCAUUUCUUAACAUAAAUAAAUGUGUAUGUUUUACCUUGGGAGUAUCGAUCACAAGACACAUAGACUCUUAGCCCAACAGGUAUCUGAGUAAACAUGUAGUCUUGUUCUGGUUUCUUUUACUCUAUAUCUCCCUUCUCUGAAUCCUUUUUAUCUCAAUUCCAAUGAACAAAGAUGCUGACGCAGUCCAUCUUAUUCACCUUCUUUUCGAUUUUUUUUAUUUUUUUAUUUUUUAUUUUCUUAUAUUUUUAUUUUUUUAUUUUUUUUUCUUUUCUUGACAAAGUGUAGGCGAAUAGUGGGGUCAUCGGUAAUGUACCUAUUCCUCGCUUCCAACAAUGUGUGAUCAUUCUAUUAGAGUAGAAUAAUGGGGUCAUCGGUAAUGUACCUACCCCUCUAAACCGCAAGAAAUCAUCUCAAUCUUUUAUUUUAUUUUAUUAGGAUGCCAAAGGGAGGAGAUAAGGAAACCAAAAUCACUCAGACUUUUACCUUUCAGACCUGAAGGAGGAAUCCGAUCCAGUGUAUACCAAGCCCCAAGACAAGCAGUAAAGUCAAAUUAGGUUGGAGGUCAGUUUCGGUUCCUUGAAACAAUCUCAGCAAGUGUGAACAUAGUUGACAGAUUGAUCCACUUUAGUAUCUUUAGUACUAUCUGCAAUCAGUAAGUCUAGAAUAGUGCUAAAGAGUGGUUAGAUAACAAGCAUGAAUAUAAUAAGUUCAUUAUCCCCUUCUUGACUCAAUAAAAACAUAUUUUGAAAAUAUUUUAAAUAAGACUCAUAAAGGUAGAUAAACGUUAG